rnacentral:lncRNA from 1 species
CAAAUUUUCCUCAAGUGGAUGACCUAAGAUUUAUCAAUCCAUGGGAGACAUAGGAUGGAGAUGGUAUCUCUCAAACAACCCUGCAACCAAAUAACAAAGAUAAUCUUGUGUUCCCAACACACCCAAUACGUAAAUUGUAUAGGUGCACUAGUUUGGACAGAGAUGGUGAUACAAGUCUAAUAUGGUUGGUGGAAAUAUAUUUUUAUAAUAUGAAUAAAUAAAAACAACAAGAUAGCAAGUAACGAAAGUGAGAACAAACAGUAUUGCAAUGCUUAAAAACAAGGCCUAGAGUUCACACUUUCGCUAGUGCAAUCUCUCAACAAUGCUAAUAUAAUUGGAUCAUAAAACAAUCCCUCAAUGUGUGAUGAAGAAUCACUCGAAAGUUCUUAUCUAGCAGAGAACAUAAGAAGAAAUUGUUUUUAGGGUACGAAACCACCUCAAAGUUAUUCUUCUCCAUCAAUCUUUUGAGCUAUCCCUAUAAGUGUCACAAACAGCCCUAGAGUUCGUACUAAAAUAUCACCAUAUGAUACGCAUCAACCAACUCUAGUUUCACCUAGAUACUCCAAUGCCACCACGAGUAUCCGUGAAUUGAUUAUACGAUAUGCAUCAAACAGUUUCAAAUCAAUAAUACUCAAUCCAACACAAAGAACCUCAAAGAGUGCCCCAAGAUAUCUACCGGAGAAACAAGGACGAAAACAUGCAUCAACCCCUAUGCAUAGAUUACCCUAAUGUUACCCGGGGAAUCCGCGAGUUAAGUGACAAAACAUAGAUCAAGUGAAUCAAUAUGAUACCCCAUUGUCACCACGAGUAUUCAUAGAAAGACAUAUGUCAAGUGUCCUCAAAUCCAUAAAAGUAUUCAGUUUGAUAAUAAUGAAAUAUCAAAGGGAAAACUCAAUUCAUCACAACAAGAUAGAGAGGGGAAAACACCAUAUGAUCCAACCAUAUUAACACAACUCGCGAUACGUCAAGAUCGUGCUAAAUCAAGAACACGAGAGAGAGAGAGAUUACACACAUAGCUACUGGUACAAACCCUCAACCCCGAGGGUGGACUACUCCCUCCUCAUCAUGGUGGCUGUCGGGAUGAUGAAGAUGGCCUCCGGUGAUUAUUCCCUCUCCGGCAGGGUGCAGGAACAGGCUUCCGAUUGAGUUUUCAUGGAUACAGAGGCUUGCGAUGGCGGAACUUCCAAUCUAGGGUUAUUUUUGGGGGUUUCUGUAUUUAUAGGAUUUUUGGCGCCGGUCUCAUUUCCAGAUGGAUUACGAGGUGCCCACUACCCACCACGGCGCGCCAGGGCAUAGACGUGUCCUGGUGCCUAGUGGGCCCCAUGGGCCUCCCCUCGUGUGCUUCCUUGACUCUCUGGAUGUCUUCUCGACAUAAAAAAUCUCCAAAAAGUUACGUGAGAUUUGGACUUCGUUUGAUAUUGAUUUUCUACGAAGUAAAAAAGAAGCAAAAAACAACAACUCGCACUAGGCACUAUGUCAAUAGGUUAGUCGCAAAAAAUGAUAUAAAGUUGCUAUAAAAUGAUUUUGAAACAACCAAGAAUGAUAAUAUAACCCUGUGGAACAAUCAAAAUUAUAGAUACGUUGGAGACAUAUCAGCACCCCGAAGUUUAAUUCGUGCUCGUCAUCGAGUAGGUAAUUGAUAAAAACAGAAUUUUUGAUGUGGAAUGCUUCCUAACAUGUUCAUCAUAUUAUUUUCUUUAUAGCAUGGACAUAUGGACUUGUAGAUGAUUAAAAGCAAUAGUCUAUAAUUUGACAUGAUAACUUUAAUACUCAAACAUAUCAACAAGCAACCAAGUCUUUCAAAAUAUCAACGCUAAAGAACGCCAUCCCUAGCCCAUCAUGCUCAAUCAUUGAUCAAUUCAUGCAGCACACCCAAAUAUUAGCUACAUCCAAUGCUCAAGUGUGAUAACACUGUUCCGUAGUUGGUGAUUUAUAAGAGAAUAUGGAGACUUAAAUAANAAUAAAAAAUAAAAAUUGCAAGAAAGUAAAUAGAUAGGCCCUUCGUAGAGGGAAGCACAUAUUUGUAGCGGUGCCAGGGCUCAAAUCGAAAAAGUUGAGAGAUAAAAUAUUUUGGGUGGCAUACUUUUCUUGUCAAUGAAAACAACUAAGAGUUCCCAGUAUCUUCCAUGCUAAACAAAUCAUAGGCGGUUCCCAAACUAAAAAUAAAGUUUUUUCCAUUUUCCACCAUUCAUUCACACUCCACGGCUAGCGGUAUCCACAGAUACAAUUCAUACCAAUACUUUCCAAGGAAUUUAUUAUUUGACAACAUAAAAUAAAUUUUCUUUUCGUUUCGGGACUAGGCAUCCCUAUUACCGCAUACUCUUGUGCAAUGACAAGUGAAUACAAACUCAUCUUGAGAAUAACCUAUUUAACAUGGAAGAUAGCGGCCACCCCUUGCCGCUCCAUGAGCGGUACGGGCACACAAAACAUAAGUUUAUUUUGAAUAUUAGAGUUGGCACAUACAAACUUACUUAGAAUGCCACUGAAAUACCCCAUAUAGGUAGGUACGAUGGACUUAUUUGGCACAACUUUGGGUUUCGGAUUUGGAUGCAUAAGCAGCAUUCCUGCUUAGUACAAGUCAAGGCUAGCAAAUAGAUUGGGAAGCGCCCAACCGAGGAACGAAAACCAUCAUACGCGAACAUUAAACAUAAAUAACACCAAAUAAAGGAAGUGAGCCAAGCUCACUUGGCCAGUGGAGUGGAUGUACAUCCCAGCAACCCAGGUUCAAGUCCCGACAGACGCGAAUUUGGGUUCUUAUUAUUAAAAAAACUCUCUAUGGGGGGUUCCCUUACAUUUUUACUUCAAAAACACACACAGAAUAAUGCAACACAAGUAGGAUGUAAUUUCAUAGCAUAAUUGUUGACUUAAUGUGCAUGCAUACGGAAUCACAAACCUUAACACCAAUAUUCUUACUAAAGCAUAAUUACUCAUCAACAUUACUCACAUAUCACUAGCUAUCUCCAUAUCACAAAACUAUUGCAAGGAAUCAAGUUUAAUAUACAAUGAUCUUCAUGAAAGUUUUUAUUAUAUCCUUCCUGAAUAUCUAUCACUUUGGGACCAAAUUAUUUUAAAGCAUAUUUCCAUUGCUAAUUACAAGCUCUCAAACAAAUUUAAGUGGAGUACGAGAUUUAUUCAAAAUUUCAGCACCACCGUGCUCAAAAAGAUAUAAGUGAAGCACAAGAGCAAACAAUCAAACUACUCUCAAAAGAUAUAACUGAAGAUCAAUGAGUAGUCAAACAAUUAAGUAGCUAUGGGAGGAGUCUCUCUCAAUAAAGAUUUUCAUAUUUUAUAAUUUAUUUCAAACAAAAGACUAAAUAAAAAAUACACUCCAAGAAUAGCACAUAUUAUGUGAACAAAUAAAAAUUUAGGCUCAACAUAGGCUAACCGAUAUUUGUUUGAUGAAGAGAGAUGGGAUGCGUAACAUCCCCAAGCUUAGAUGCUUGAGAAUUAUUGAAAUAUUUACUUGGGGUGCCUUGGGCAUCCCCACGCUUGAGCUUUUACAUCUCGUUCAAUCCUGUGAUAUCCCGGUUUCACCUAAGUCUCAAAAACUUCAUCCACACAAAACUUGAAAAGAACUAGUGAGAUAGGUUAGUACACAUAAAAGUAAAUCAACACUUCAUGUACUGCCCAGACAAGUUUCAUAAUAAUUUUCAAACAUUAGUUACUGUAUACUACCAUUUCCACAAUUUAUAUCCACUAAUAUAAGCCAUGAAAACUCUAGGAUAAGUAGAUAACAAAACUAUGACAGCAAUCUGUCCAGACAGAACAAUCUGUAGCAAUAUAUAUACAAAGUGUACUUAUGUAUCUACACAAAUGAUGAAAAUUUAGGACCUUGUAAUUUUUAUGACAUUACCGUGUAAAAUUUUCAGAAACUUUCUACGUUCGAGAAAAAUCCACACACAGAGUUUCUGUUUUUGUGCAAUACACAUCAAACAUGUAAUUCAAGCAUUCUAAAGGCCAUUCUUGGAACUUUUUAUUGAAAAAAAGAUAAUAAAUAACAUAUAACAGAUGACAACAUAAUGAAAUGAGAUCCAAGCAAAACACGUAUCAUAUGACGAAUAAAAAUAUAGCUCCAAGUAAGAUAUACCUAUAAUGUUGGAGAUGAAAGAGGGGAUGCCUACCGGGGCAUCCCCAAGCUUAUACGCUUGACUAUUACUUGGAUAUUACCUUUGGGGUGCCUUGGGAAUCCCCAAGCUUAGGUUCUUUCUGCUCCUUAUUCUGGUCAUAUUGGCAUCUCACCUAAAGCUUGAAAACUUCAAUCACAGGAAACUUAACGGAACUUCGUGAGAUGGGUUAGUAUGAUAAAUAUAGAUCAUUCUCUUAGGUACGGUCAAGACAAGAUUCAUAGUUGUUAUUACCUGAUUCCUACUGUAUAUAUCAUUCCCAUAAAUUAUAUCACUAAAUAUAAGCUAUGGAAAGACUAAAACAAGCAAACUAUGCAGGCAAAAUAGAAUCUGUCAAAAAUAGAACAAUUUGUGAAGAUUUGAAUGAAAAACUUACUUCCUCACUGUAAAAAUUACGAAGAAAUAGGACAACGCAGAGAAUUUGUAUAUCAAAGCUUUGUAAAAUUUGCAGAAAUUGUGGACGCUCGAGUAAAUUCAGAGAAAUUCUACACUUAACGUAAAAGUUUUUGUUUUUGCACACAACCAAACAAACAAGUAUCCACACUAUCCCAAAGGCUUUACUUGGCACUUUACUUUAAUAAAAGCUAUAAAACAUGAUUAUCACAAUAGCUUAAUCAUGUGGACACACAAAAACAGAAAGUAAAAGUGUUGGGUUGUCUCCCAAUAAGCGCUUUUCUUUAAUGCCUUUUAGCUAGGCAUGAUGAUUUCAAUGAUGUUCAUAUUGGAAUAAUAGUUGAAACAUGCAAGAGAGCAUCAUGAAUCACAUGCAAGCACACUUAAGUCUAACCCACUUCCUAUACAUAGGGAUUUUGCAAGAAAUUUUUUAUUGUAGAAAUAAUCAUCUUGCUUAGGAAGGCAAACAAGCAUGACUUCAACACUUUGAACAUAAAGAGAGGAAACUUGAUAUUAUUGAAAUAUGUAGAAACAUAUAUUCCUCUCUCAUAAUAAUUUUCAGUAGCAUCAUGAAUGAAUUCAACAAUAUAGCUAUCACAUAAAGCAUUCUUUUCAUGAUCCACAAUCAUAUAAUUUUUACUACUCUCCACAUAAGAAAAUUUCUUCUCAUUCAUAAUAAUGGGAGCAUCAUAUGAAACUCGAAUACUAUAAAUUGUUUCCACAUUAAAAGAGUAACAUUUAGUAAAAAAAUAUUAAAAAUUAUGCCAAAAAUUAUCACUACCUUUUAUAACAUAAGUAUCAUCACAAUAAUCAUCAUAAGUAGCAAUUUGGUUCUCAUCAUAAUAAAUUGGGACCUCUUCCGAAAUAGUGGAAUCAUUACUAAAUGAAGUCAUGACCUCUCCAAAUACAUUUUUUUAUCAUUAUCAUAAGAUUCAACACCCUCCAAAGUAGUGGGAUAAUUAUUAUACAAAGUUGGCAUGCUUUUGAAUGCACUUUCAUAAAUAUUGCAAUCAUCAUAAAUAGGAGGCAUGCAAUCAACAUAACAAAUUUGAUCAUCCAAAGUAGGGGGACUAAAAAUUUCAUCUUCAUUAAGCAUAGAAUCACCAAGCUUGGGACAAACAUUAAUUGUGGAAAAUAAAUUCUCAAAUAUGUCAUUCUCAUCAAACAUAGCAUCCCCAAGCUUGUGGCUUGGCAUAUCAUAAGCAUAAUCACACCCAUGAUUAACAUUAUGAAUAGUACCAAUAGUAUAACAAGUAUUAUCAUCAUAAUUUCCCAAGUUGGUGCCAAAAAUAUUUUCAAGAUUGUAAGAAGUAUCAUUAUAUGCCCAAUCAUAAUCAGCACAACAAGCAAUAGGCAUAACAAAAUCAUCAUCAAUACUUUUUUCUCACAUUGUGCCAUAAGAUAAAGAAGCAAUAUCAUUAUUAAGUGCAUCACCUUCCACAAUUAUUUUAGAUUUAUUCUCAUGAGGCACAACAAUAAUAGGAGAAACAUCAUUUGGGAGGGAUACCUUUUUACCUCUACUAUUUCUUCUUUUCUUCUUGUUCACCACAUCAUGUGUGGGUUUAAUUAUUUUUUUCGAGCUUCCUAUUGAUGAGAUUGGUUGAAUAGGGAAUUCCUUCUCGUGACCUAUUUCAUCAUGAGAGAGAAUAGGGGGGAAAGUGGAAACCUUUACCCUUUCAUUAGUAUUCCUUUUAUAUUCUAUUUGUUUUCCCAUCUUUCUAUAGUUUGAAAUAUAAGCGUUCUCAUUGGAAUUUACCAUGCAAAACAUAUAGAUAUAUUUUAGAUUAGUUUCAAUAUCGUUUGGGAGCAUGAACACUUUGUCGGAAUCGGGGCAUCGUGGAUCCAGAAAGGUUCGAACAGUGGGGUGUGCUUGCUCUCUUACCCUGUUUUGCUUCUCAACCCCACGGUGGCUCUCUGGUGGCUCAAGCUAAGGAAGAUGAACAAGAACACGUGCAUAGUUUACCCAGGUUCAGGCCACCUUGCGGUGUAAAACCAUACUCCUGCUUUUCUAGAUUGCUUGAGGUGGAAGACGAGUACAAACAAGGGGGUCUUGCCCUAAUGGAGUUGGUCGAUCUCCUCUUGCUACGAAGGCCGGACCUCCCUCUUAUACAGGCCUUGGUCCUAUCCCCCCUCAAAACACACACUUGGCAGGAAGGGUUGCCACACCGUCCAUAUUGCAAGGGGACACGAGUAUAGCCUACCCUGACAAAGGUGGUCUUCGCCCGCUAAAGCUCUUUACCAUGAUGCGCAGGUGGGCUGGGGGUGACCUCCGUCCUGCCAAGCCCCCCCCCCCGGUCCUCUUGCACCAAGUAGGAACCUUUGGGGGCUGCUUUGGGAACCCGCGGGCUAGCUUUGUUCCCGUAGCACCAAACAGGAAAGCCUCUCUGUCCGUGCUGGUACCGCCCCUGCACCGCCUUCGUGGCUUGCAUCGCCCAUGUGAGGGGGCAGGGCCGUGCGGCCCACCUGAUUGCCCUCAACAAGUCCGCCCAGCAAGGGCCUCAUGGGUGGCCUCGGGAUGCACCUCAGUGGCCAGUUUGUCCUUGCACUCCUUGAUCUCGAUUCCCCAACGCGUGCCUCUCGAGGAUCUUGCUUGCUGGGCCCGUUGUCGGGAUAAAUUGGGCGAGGACAACACAUUGCACCUGGGGCCAUAGGACGACGGGCCUGGGUACCCACAGUCUCACAGGCCCGGAAGUAGCCCUCGGGUCCGUGUUGCGCAUGACUCCGCCCGGUGGGAGGGGCGAAGCGACACGGGCCCCAACUGCGUGCAGGCGAGGCUCGACGCGUGGCGCUCAGAAAUUCGUGGGACACCCCUUCUCCCCACGACGCCUCAGUAACCGCCUCGAGCUGGCAUAAAGCCUGCACGCAUAGUCGGUUCUUCAUUGCACAUCAUUGACUUGCCUCACCUCCCCGCGCCUUCCUUCCUGUGUAAGAUUGUCCCCAUCUCAGGCAGGAAGGGCAAGGAAAUGGCAGCGGCGGAAGGGCGAAAGGCACCGGAACCAGCCCUGGGUAGGUCCACAGUGCUAAAUCGUGAAGGGCUCAACAAGGUCCUCUUCAUGGUCGCGACUCAGUCCACCGAAUGGGGACCAACCAAGUUCUCAUCGGCUUCGAUUCCCAUCGCUGAGCUGACCGCAACCUCCAUUGCCCUCCAUGUUCCCACGCUCUUCACUGGCUUGCUUCCCCCAUUCUCAGAUUUCUUCAACUCCGUGCUCACGCAUUACCAAAUUCACGGGCUGCAUCUUGAUACGAGAUCCGUUCUUCUUCUCUCGUCAUUCGCCUUCCUCUGUGAGGCCUUCCUGGGUGUUCCCCCCUUAGUGGCAUUGCUCCAACACUUGUUCACCCUCCGGCUGACUGCAUCUGACCAGUGCUCUGGGUGCGUGUCCCUCCAGGCCGUGGAAGCGACGCAAGGCGAGUGCAUCGAUAUGAGGAUCAACCACACCGCAGAAGGCUUCAUGCGACAAUGGGUGUACGUGGAAGCGGGUCAGCACAAUCGCCUGCUGCCAACUCCAUCACCCCUGGUGGUGCCCAGAUCCGGGUGGGGGCACGUGAGGCUUGCGACCCAAGGCUGUCGUCGAUGAGAAGGAGGUUAGACACCUUUAGGGUGGUGGGGGUGACUGCCGCGCUGGUCGUGAGGUAGUUCCUUAGGCGAUAGAUUGCCCCCCUUCAACGCCACUCCCGUACGAUGUGGGCCUUCUCUGGGCCGUAGGAGCCCAUGUGGCUCCAUCCGGAGUGCUUGACGGUUGAUGUGCUCGACGAGAUGCUCCAGAUCCUGAUUGGUGAGACUGUUGGUGGCCUUCCCUAUAAGGGGUUCCCUUGUACAAGUACACGAGCGGGAAAGACCUUAUUCGGAUAAUGCCCCACUUCGAUUAGCAGGGGCAUAUUCCGAAGGGCCACGACAGGCCUCGGGACAGCCAUGUCCUGGUGGUUCCUGAACCGGGAGCCCUGAUGAGCCCUGAGCCCCCAACCGGGGCGACGGGGGGCGGCGGACACCUGCAUUGGGACCAACCCGAGGGCAGUACUGGCGUGUUGCUGAGGGUGCCUAAGAGGAUGAAAUGGGCCGCCAGAGACGAGUGAGUGCUGCGCCUUUGCCUUGCUUGCUUCCAUGCCCUAGGUGUGGCCGACCCCUCCUUCCGUGCACGCUUCUGGUGAGCAAAAGGACCAACAAGCCCCCUGGCCCGGCGCGUGCCCUCCCGCCAUCGGCCGGGGCUGGGGUAAUGAUGACCCACAAGUAUAGGGGAUCAAUCGUAGUCCUUUCGAUAAGUAAGAGUGCCGAAACCAACGAGGAGAAGAAGGCUCUGAUAAAUGGAUUUCAGCAAGGUAAUAACUGCAAGCACAAGUAGCGGUAACAAGUGAUUGUGUAGCGAGGUGAAACGUAGCAAGCAAAAAGUAACCAGUAACAAGUAGUAGCAAUGGUGCAGCAAGUGGCCCAAUCCCUUUUGUAGCAAGGGACAAGCCUGAACAAAGUUUUAUAGGAGGAAAAACGCUCCCGAGGACACACGGGGAUGCCUGUCAUGCUAGUUUCAUCAUGUUCAUAUGAUUCGCGUUCGUUACUUUGAUAGUUUGAUAUGUUGGUGGACCGGCGCUUGGGUACUGCCCUUACUUGGACAAGCAUCCCACUUAUGAUUAACCUCUCUCGCAAGCAUCUGCAACUACAAAAGAAGAAUUAAGACAAAGUCUAACCAUAGCAUUAAACUAGUGGAUCCAAAUCAGCCCCUCACGAAGCAACGCAUAGACUGGGGUUUAAGCUUCUGUCACUCCAGCAACCCAUCAUCUACUUACUACUUCCCAAUGCCUUCCUCUAGGCCCAAAUAUGGUGAAGUGUUAUGUAGUCGACGUUCACAUAACACCACUAGAGGAAAAGACAACAUACAACAUAUCAAAAUACAGAACGAAUAUCAAAUUCACAUGACUAUUAUUAACAUGACUUAUCCCAUGUCCUCAGGAACAAAAGUAACUACUCACAAAGCAUAAUCAUAAUCAUGAUCAGAGGUGUAAUGAAUAGCAUCAAGGAUUUGAACAUAAACUCUUCCACCAAGUAAUCCAACUAGCAUCAACUACAAAGAGUAAUCAACACUACUAGCAACCUUUCAAGUACCAAUCGGAGUCGUGAGACGGAGAUUGAUUACAAGAGAUGAACUAGGGAUUGGAGAGGAGAUGGUGCUGAUGAAGAUGCCUCCCCUGUGACGAGAGGAGUGUUGGUGAUGAUGAUGGCGACGAUUUCCCCCUCUAGGAGGGAAGUUUCCCCGGCAGGAUCGUCCUGCCGGAGCUCUAGAUUGGAUCUGCUAAAGUUCUGCCUCAUGGCGGCGGCGAAACCACGAAAAAGCUCCCGUCUGAUUUUUUCUGGACCAAGACGCUUCAUAUAGCAAAAGAGGGGGGCUAGUGGGCCGUCAGGGAGCCCACAAGCCCCUACUCCGCCCCCAGGGGGGAGUGGCGGUGUCAGGGCUUGUGGCGCCCUGGCAGCCCCCCUCUGGUAGUUCUUUCGCCCAGUAUUUUUUAUAUAAUCCCAAAAAAAUCCAGGUAACUUUUCAGGGCAUUUGGAGAUGUGUAGAAUAGUGGACUAGGAUUUGCUCCUUUUCCAGUCCAGAAUUCCAGCUGCCUGAAUUCUCCCUCUUCAAAUAAACCUUGCAAAAUAAGAGAGAAAAGGCAUAAAUAUGGUACCACAAGUAAUAUAACAGCCCAAAAAGCAAUAAAUAUCAACAUGAAAGCAUGAUACAAAAUGGACGUAUCAACUCCCCCAAGCUUAGACCUCGCUUGUCCUCAAGCGAAAACCAAGUUCCACAAACAUGUCCACAUGUUUGGGGACGAAGGUGUCGAUAAAACAUAAUACGGACAUGAGGGCAUCAUGAUCACACAAAGGACAACAAUACAUUAUAAUGAUUCUUAUGGGAAAGUAACAAUUCCUUCACAAAGCAAAGCAUGAAGCAAAAACCUUACCGAGAAGUAACCAACAAUAAACCAUAGUCAUUGAAGCAAUUGCAAUUUAUCACAACAUCAGAAAGAGUCAAAUAAGAGCUUGUAAGGCAAACCCACAUACUCAAUCAUCUCUUUUGUUUUCCACAAUUGUUACAACUCACGUGGUACUCAAGGUGUCAAAGUUUCAGCUUGACACAGAGGAAGAUGGGGGCUUAUAGUUUUGCCUCCCAACCAUUUACCUCAAAGGUAAAGUCAACAACAAUAAAGCAUAAGUACUCAACUCCAAGUUGAUAUAUGAAUAUAGAUCUUUCCCAAGCAUGUGACGGUAGGCAAGACAAAGGCAAAAAUAGGGAAUUGGUGAUGAUCACCAUGACUCUUACAAGGGCAAAAAGUAAAGGUACAAGAUAGGCCCUUCGCAGAGGGAAGCAGAGGUUGUCAUGCGCUUUUGAGGUUUGAAUGCGUGUCCUCUUAGUGUGGAGGAACGUCACUUUAUAUUGCCUCCUGUGAUAAAGAACUCUAUUAUGCAGUCUGUCGCUUUUAUGUCUUCCUCAUCACAGGUUCGUACAAAGUUUAUUUUCCACACACUAAUAGAUCAUACAUAUUAGAGAGCAAUUUUUAUUGCUUGCACCGAUGACAACUUACUUGAAGGAUCUUAUUCAAUCCAUAGGUAGGUAUGGUGCACUACUAGGAAAAGGCUUGCUAAUGGCGCACCUAUUUUGGCUACUAAUGGCGCACUAUAGGUGCGCCAGGUGCGCCAUUAGUAUCUGGUAUACUAAUGGCGCACCAGGCAGUGCGCCAUUAGUAUUGCUCACGGUGCGCCAUUAGUAUCUGGUAUACUAAUGGCGCACCAAGUAGUGCGCCAUUAGUAUAGAUCCUGGUGCGCCAUUAGUAUAGAUCCUGGUGCGCCAUUAGUAUAGAUCCUGGUGCGCCAUUAGUAUAGCUUAUGGUGCGCCAUUAGUAUGCCUCCCAGGGCCAUAUUUACCCAUAUGCUCUGGCUUACUAAUGGCGCACUAGUUGACGAUGCGCCACUAGUGUGCUUUUGAAGUGCACCACUAGUGUGCUGAGUGAUGCGCCACUAGUAUGAAUAUUUGCACAGAUUACAAAAUAUAUUAUUGCACAGAAUAUAGAUAGCACAACAUAUAAACAACAGAUUUAUCGAAUACAAUAGAAGAUUAGUCUCCGAAUACAAUUCAUCAUAUUAGUCUCCGAAUUUAAAAUACCGAACAAAGUUAGAACAUUACAAGUCUCGAGACCGUGAUUAGCGAGUUUGUCUUCACAUUACAAGUCGAUAUCGAUCAUCUAAACUACCAUCACAUAGAAGAGAGCUGCGGUCACCACGAUGAGCAUAAUCGCAAUGAAACUGGUCUUCAUCCGGUUCCUCCAACGCUCCCUCCUCUCUCCCGCUAGAUAGCGCGCGUAUCUAACUUCCGCCUCCGCCCUUGUGGUGUACCCUUUGUAACUGUUACCGCUGAAUCAGGGAAUCUGUCUCCGACACUCCUCCCAGUCGUCAUAGACUCCGGGAACCUUACCCUUGUACACGACAUACGACGACAUCUCUAUGCACUAGCCAAACAAAACGUUAGUAGCAAUUCACAGAGACAUACAAGUUCAUUAAAGUUUAAUAUUACAACUAUAACAGCACGAUUCAUGGUCCUACUAAUAAAUAGCAUCGAUUAUAUAUAAGUUGAACGACUGUCCAAACCAAAGAGACAUACAAGUUCAUUAAAGUUUAAUAUUGCAACAUGAAUUAGUAGCGAUUCACGGGAACGUGGAUGAAGCCGCCGUCUUUCGUGAUGGUCAUGAAAUUGCGGUCGUUGUCAGCCUGCAUUUGUAGCAUUGUAUCUAUCUCACUAUUGGACAGCGGAGAUCCGAGGUAGAACUGCCCCGAGGUACGAAGGACAUCUUGAUGGAUGAUUUCCGCAAACUCCGACUGNNNNNNNNNNNNNNNNNNNNNNNNNNNNNNNNNNNNNNNNNNNNNNNNNNNNNNNNNNNNNNNNNNNNNNNNNNNNNNNNNNNNNNNNNNNNNNNNNNNNAGUGGGAUGCUUGUCCAAGUAAGGGCAGUACCCAAGCGCCGGUCCACCCACAUAUCAAAGUAACGAACGCGGAUCAUAUGAACAUGAUGAAACUAGCAUGACAGAAAUCCCCGUGUGUCCUCGGGAGCGUUUUUCCUCCUAUAAGACUUUGUUCAGGCUUGUCCCUUGCUACAAAAGGGGUUGGGCCACUUGCUGCACCGUUGCUACUACUUGUUACUUUUUGCUUGCUACGUUUCACCUCGCUACACAAUCACUUGUUACCGCUACUUUCAGUGCUUGCAGUUAUUACCUUGCUGAAAUCCGUUUAUCAGAGCCUUCUGCUCCUCGUUGGGUUCGACACUCUUACUUAUCGAAAGGACUACAAUUGAUCCCCUAUACUUGUGGGUCAUCAAGACUCUUUUCUGGCGCCGUUGUCGGGGAGUGAAGCACCUUUGGUAAGUGGAAAUUGGUAAGGAAACAUUUAUAUACUGUGCUGAAAUUUAUUGUCACUUGUCACUAUGGAAACUGUUCCUUUGAGGAGUUUGUUCGGGGUAUCUUCACCACGAACGGAAGCACAAGUAGUUGUUCCUCAACCUGAGGUACCUACUGAAAAUAUCUUUUAUGAAUUUCCUUCGGGUAUGCUUGAGAAACUGCUGGCUAAUCCUUUCACAGGAGAUGGAUCUUCACAUCCACACUUGCAUCUGAUCUAUGUAGAUGAAGUUUCUGGUUUAUUUAAGCUUGCAGGUUUGCCCGAGGAUGAGGUAAAGAAGAAAGUAUUUAGUUUAUCUUUGAAGGAUAAGGCGUUGACAUGGUAUAGGCUAUGUGAUGAUACUGGAUCAUGGGGCUACAAUCGGUUGAAAUUGGAAUUUCAUCAAAAGUUCUAUCCUAUGCAUUUAGUACAUCGUGAUUGGAACUUUAUUUAUAACUUUUGGCCUCGUGACACGGAAAGCAUAGCUCAAGCUUUGGGGAUGCUUAAAUAAUUGCUAUAUUCAUGCCCCAAUCAUGAGCUCUCGAGAGAAAUCAUCACUCAAAACUUUUAUGCUCGGCUUUAUCAUGAAGAUCGUACCAUGCUUGACACUUCUUAUACCGAUUCUUUUAUGAAGAAGGAUAUUGAUCACAACUGGAAUUUAUUGGAAAGAAUCAAACGCAACUUUGAAGAUUGGGAGUUGGAGGAAGGUAAGGAGUCAGGUAUGAAUUUCCAGUUUGAUUGAGUUAAAUCUUUUGUUGAGACAAACACUUCUAGAGAUUUUAGCACUAAGUAUGGACUUGACUCUGAGAUAGUAGCUUCUCUUUGUGAAUCUUUUGUUGCUCAUGUUGAUCUUCCCAAAGAGAAGUGGUUUAAAUAUCAUCCUCCUGUAGAAAGCAACAUAGCCAAAACCAAUAUAGUUGAGGAGAAAUUCAUUGCUUUUAGUGAUCCUGUUGUUCCUUGUGCUUACACUGAGAAACCACCAUACCCUGCUAGGAUAAAGGAUUAUUCUAAAGCUCCAUUUGUGAUACGUAGGGGUUACAUUAGACCACUUGCACCCCCUGAGGAGAUUAGAGUUGAACCUAGUGUUGCUAUUAUCAAAGAUCUCCUAGCCAAAGACAUAGACGGGCAUGUUAUCAAAUUCUGUGAGGACUCCACUAGAAUUGCUAAACCUCACGCGAAAGACAAAUACGGACCUGUAGUUGGACUGCCCGUUGUUUCUGUCAAGAUAGGAGAUCACUGUUACCAUGGUUUAUGUGAUAUGGGAGCUAGUGUUAGUGAAAUACCCCAUUCUCUAUAUGAAGAAAUCAAAGAUGAGAUUGCACCUGCUGAGUCAAAACCCAUUGAUGUCACUAUUACGCUAGCUAAUAGAGACACUAUCUGCCCUCUGGGAAUUGUGAGAGACGUAGAAGUCCUGUGUGGUAAGACGAAGUACCCUACUGAUUUCCUCGUCCUUGGUACUGCACAAGAUAGAUUUUGUCCCAUCAUAUUUGGUAGACCCUUUCUCAACACUAUCAAUGCUCACAUUCAUUGCAUUAAGCAGACCGUCAUAGUUAGUUUCAAGGGUGUGUCUCAUGAAUUUAACUUCUCGAAGUUUGGAAGACAACCCCAUGAAAGAGAGUCGUCUGGUAGAGAUGAAAUCAUUGCUCUUGCCUCUAUUGUCGUACCUCCUACGAAUCCUUUAGAGUAAUAUCUUCUUGAGCAUGAGAAUGAUAUGCAUAUGGAGGAGAGAGAUGAGAUAGAUAAAAUUGUCUUAGAACAAUAUCCUAUUCUCAAGAAUAAUCUGCGUGUUGAACUGCUUGGGGAUCCUCCCCCACCAAAGGGUGAUCCUGUGUUCGAGCUUAAACAAUUGCCUGAUACUCUUAAGUAUGCCUAUCUUCAUGAGAAUGAGAUAUAUCCUGUCAUUAUUAGUGCUCUCCUCUCAGAUCACGAAGAGAAGAAGUUAUUAAAACUUUGAGGAAGCAUCGUGCUGCUAUUGGAUAUAGUCUUGAUGAUCUUAAGGGUAUUAGUCCUACUCUAUGUCAGCACAGGAUUAAAACCGAUCCUGACUUUAAACCAGUUGCUGAUCAUCAAAGGAGUUAAAUCCUAAGAUGAAAGAGGUCGUUAGAAAAGAAAUAUUAAAGCUUCUGGAAGCAGGAAUCAUUUAUCCUCUUGCUCAUAGUGAUUGGGUAAGUCCAGUACAUUGCGUACCUAAGAAGGGAGGUAUCACCAUCGUUCCUAAUGAUAAGGAUGAACUAAUCCCACAAAGGAUUAUUACCAGCUAUAGAAUGGUGAUAGACUUCCGGAAACUAAACGAGGCAACCAGGAAAGAUCAUUAUCCCUUGCCGUUUAUCGACCAAAUGCUAGAAAGGCUAUCAAAACACACACACUUCUGCUUUCUAGACGGUUAUUCAGGUUUCUCACAAAUACCUGUUGCACAAUCUCAUCAAGAGAAAACCACUUUCACCUACCCUUUCGGUACCUUUGCCUAUAGACGUAUGCCUUAUGGCUUAUGUAACGCACCUGCCACCUUUCAAAGAUGUAUGAUGGCUAUAUUCUCUGAAUUUUGUGAAAAGAUUGUCGAGGUUUUCAUGGAUGACUUCUCCGUUUAUGGGUCUUCCUUUGAUGAUUGCCUCAGCACUCUUGAUCGAGUCUUACAGAGAUGCGAAGAAACCAACCUCAUCUUAAAUUGGGAGAAGUGCCACUUUAUGGUUAAUGAAGGUAUCGUCUUAGGACACAAAAUCUCUGAAAGAGGCAUUGAAGUUGAUAAGGCUAAGGUUGAUGAAAUUGAGAAAAUGCCUUGCCCCACAGAUGUCAGAGGUAUACGAAGUUUCCUAGGUCAUGCUGGUUUCUAUAGAAGGUUCAUUAAAGACUUCUCUAAGAUUUCUAGGCCUCUUACCAACCUCUUGCAGAAGGAUGUUCCUUUUGUUUUUGAUGAGGAUUGUGAGGAAGCCUUCGAAAUACUUAAGAAGGCUUUGAUAACCGCACCUAUUGUUCAACCACCUGACUGGAACUUGCCCUUUGAAAUCAUGUGCGAUGCUAGUGAUUAUGUUGUNNNNNNNNNNNNNNNNNNNNNNNNNNNNNNNNNNNNNNNNNNNNNNNNNNNNNNNNNNNNNNNNNNNNNNNNNNNNNNNNNNNNNNNNNNNNNNNNNNNNAGAUCCUGGUGCGCCAUUAGUAUAGAUCCUGGUGCGCCAUUAGUAUAGCUUAUGGUGCGCCAUUAGUAUGCCUCCCAGGGCCAUAUUUACCCAUAUGCUCUGGCUUACUAAUGGCGCACUAGUUGACGAUGCGCCACUAGUGUGCUUUUGAAGUGCACCACUAGUGUGCUGAGUGAUGCGCCACUAGUAUGAAUAUUAGGUAUUUAUUUUAUUUUUUCUGAUAUUUGCACAGAUUACAAAAUAUAUUAUUGCACAGAAUAUAGAUAGCACAACAUAUAAACAACAGAUUUAUCGAAUACAAUAGAAGAUUAGUCUCCGAAUACAAUUCAUCAUAUUAGUCUCCGAAUUUAAAAUACCGAACAAAGUUAGAACAUUACAAGUCUCGAGACCGUGAUUAGCGAGUUUGUCUUCACAUUACAAGUCGAUAUCGAUCAUCUAAACUACCAUCACAUAGAAGAGAGCUGCGGUCACCACGAUGAGCAUAAUCGCAAUGAAACUGGUCUUCAUCCGGUUCCUCCAACGCUCCCUCCUCUCUCCCGCUAGAUAGCGCGCGUAUCUAACUUCCGCCUCCGCCCUUGUGGUGUACCCUUUGUAACUGUUACCGCUGAAUCAGGGAAUCUGUCUCCGACACUCCUCCCAGUCGUCAUAGACUCCGGGAACCUUACCCUUGUACACGACAUACGACGACAUCUCUAUGCACUAGCCAAACAAAACGUUAGUAGCAAUUCACAGAGACAUACAAGUUCAUUAAAGUUUAAUAUUACAACUAUAACAGCACGAUUCAUGGUCCUACUAAUAAAUAGCAUCGAUUAUAUAUAAGUUGAACGACUGUCCAAACCAAAGAGACAUACAAGUUCAUUAAAGUUUAAUAUUGCAACAUGAAUUAGUAGCGAUUCACGGGAACGUGGAUGAAGCCGCCGUCUUUCGUGAUGGUCAUGAAAUUGCGGUCGUUGUCAGCCUGCAUUUGUAGCAUUGUAUCUAUCUCACUAUUGGACAGCGGAGAUCCGAGGUAGAACUGCCCCGAGGUACGAAGGACAUCUUGAUGGAUGAUUUCCGCAAACUCCGACUGGAUGCGAAAGAAUUCUUGUCUGAUGUCCGCAUCCUGGAUUGCCGACAAGCGUGCGGCCCAAUCUUUGAGAUUAUUUGGUAGCCGAAGGUGAUUACUGUCCCGUAUGAUCGCCCACAUGUGAUGGAGGGCGUAGUAGGCAUCCUUCUGACUGCCAAGCGGCUGCUUGACGCAGGCGAACGUCGUAUUGUGGGUGAACACGUGCUUGCCGUGCCUGAGACUUGUCCUGCUGAAGGUGCCUCCAGAUAUGGUGUAGCCGGGAAGAGCUUCAUCAAGAACUUUCUUGAUAUUUGUGUAGUCUUUUUUUGACUGACGGUCCGAGUCGAAAUAUGUGGCCGUGGAAUAUUUCAGGCUUAAGAGGAUGAUUGUGCAACGUGUGUCACUGCACAAAACACGGAAUAUUAGAAAAAAAAGGACGAUCAAAAUCUAAGAAAUCAUAUGUUACGGGGCGAUGAGGGGAUAACUUACCAGGGAAAGUAAGGCACGAGGAAGUUAUCCUUUUCUGAGAUUGCCAGAAUGACACCUUCGAGGUAUGAACUCGCGACUUGCCGGUCCCCAUCGCUGCCCAAGAUUUUGGCACGCAUAUAGAAGGGGUCGACUAUCACUAGGUCCGGGGUCUUGUCUCUAAUGAUCCGCAUCUCCAUACUCAGCGAAAAUAGCCGAACGAAGGUGUAGUGCAGCGGAUGAAGGUUAAACAUAGCGAAGAUGUCAGCAAACUGCAGGACGAUCAUAACCCCGAUGGCGCUAUGGACAAAGCCCUUGCCCUCUGGCACCUUGGCCACGAAAACCGGGUAUGCCACAUUAUUCUCGGAGAGACGCCGCUUCUCCAAACAAAGAACACUGUCAUGCAGACUCCGCAUAGCACCGGUUGCAGCAUUGAGCAGAUUAGUCGGUAGCAUUGGCCUACCCGCCACAUGCACCCUCCUCGAGAUAUCCUUAGGUCAAGGUGGCCCGUCCAGAGCACGGAUCGUACUCAGUGCCGGCUGGCUCGCACCCUUGUUAGUCUUUCUUUUCCGUCCCUUCUUCUGCUGAUGUAAUGGGAUUGAGUUCAUCUGCUCAGAGACCACCUUCUUGAGUGUGUUGGGGCUGAUAAUAUUUCGCACCUCGGCUAUCUGAGGCUCGGUGAAGGCGGCAGCUGGAGGCGUCUCCUCAAAACUAAACGCUAGACAACGCCUGUUGCAAUUGGGUUUCUCCGCGGUACCAGCUAGAUCACCGUCGUCUUAUGCAGGGUUGAGUUCUUGAGAAGGAGGCCCCAAGAAUUCCUCACCAUACCCAUGUUCGGGAAAGUACUUAUCAACCUUGGUAAAUGUACCAUCGCCGUCAUCGUUGUCGUCCGGAUCCUGUGCCAUAUGCAUGUCCAGAUCCUGUGCCAUAUGCAUGUCCGGUAGAGUUGCAACGGUCUUGCCAUGGCUUGGCGCUAUGCCAUUUGUCAUGGUUUUUAAUUCAUUUUAUGUAGUUAGCUAGGCCAUUUUAGCUGAAACUAUGCCAAUAUGUACGCCUGGUUUGACGCCGAAAGUUAACAACAGAAGCAAAUUUUUAUGGCUUCACACAUACAUCGACAAAUCAAAUAUUGGCAGCCAAGCAUGCCUAUACAUAUGCCAUUUUGCACUAAAGUUAAAAAUUAGUAUUUAGUUGAAUACGUCUUCUUGGGAAAUUUGUCUUAUUUGUUCCUAUAUAUUUUCUAUUUUUUCUACGGGUCUCCUCAGCAAGAAAAUACGGUGCAAUAGAACACCCAUCUGGAGCUAAUCACUACCAUAUCAUGGCUUGCAUAUUUGUCACCGCAAUCGUGUAUUUUUCACAUCACACAUUUUUUGGAAUCAUACAUGCAUGUUCAUCCCCUACUACACGCAUGCAUCUCAUAUCGAUUCUUGUGAAGUACUCACUCUGUAAACUAAUAUAAGAUCUGUAAGCUAAUAUAAGAUGUUUUAGAUCAGGUGGUACUAUUGAAUUAUGCUUGCAAUGUUCAUUUCUCUCUCUUAUUGUGUUGGUUAAACUUUGGGUGACUAAGGUUUGGCAUGGUUAAUCUCAAGCUAAUUAAGCAGGUUCUUACUACUACUCCAUCUAAGAGCUAAAGGAGGAUGAGCCCUUCAGACAAGGGCCUCCACUACGUUAGCAAACCCUAAUACUGUAAUACACAUCUGCUUAGAAAAACCAGGUCACGUUUAAUCUACACCUCAAUUCACAUGUAAUGUACUCUAGUAUAAAAUCGAAUACGCUAUUAUAUUAUGUACGGAGCUAGUACCUGAUUAUGAGGUCAUGCAUGCAGCAAUCUGUACACAUGAUUAUUUCCAGAAUUUUAUACACUGCCCACGUUGUAAAACUAGCAAAUAAAUAGCCCAUAGGAGGGGAAAUUAAAAUGUUUCUGUGCGUAAGCAUGAUAGAUCCCGAUCGAAUGGGAGGCUGAGGGUAGGCUCACCGGUGGUUAGGUUGCAGGCGUCGCUGGAGAAGUCAAGCGCAGUGACGCAGUUGGUGUGUCCCCUGAGGGUGUUGAGGUCGAGGUGGUGGUGCUUCUUGGCCGCCUCCUGGAAGAAAACACACAAUUCAGCUGAGACCACACUCACCACACAUUCCAAUAUUUAUAUGGAACUAUGAAUGUCUACAUUUCAACAGGAAGUGCAGGAAUGGAUGAACUAUGAAGAUUAUGUUCUCCUAGGAUACACUCCGAAUCGAAUCUAUUGGACUGUAAUCGGAGACACCACUGACUGAUCCCUGUGUGUGAGAGCGAGAUCGGUAGUAGCUAGCACGUGUGCGGAAUCAUGGAUCCCAUCCGAGUGUGCAGUAUGCGCGCGAGUGAGAUGGGGAUGGAGACAAGAUGAGAUGGGGGUGGACCUUGUCGGCGGCGGAGGCGUGGUGGUGUUAGGGCCAUCCCUUCUUGUUCUGGGCGGCGGGGCGGACCUGCUUGGGCAGGUCCGAGGCGGCGGCGACGGCGGAGGGGGGCACGUGCAAGAUGUCGGCGCGCUUGCGGCGCAGGUAGCCGGCGAGGAAGACGAAGGCGAUGGCCCCGCCGAGCAGCACCGAGAGGAUCGGCUAUUUACUGGUGCUGCGCUGCAGGAGCAGAGGAAGGGGCGCCGCCGGUGGAGAGGACGAAGACGGUGUGGGUCUUGCAGGGGGACUUGAGGUGGCGGCCGAGGACGGUGAGGUCGGGGAGGUGGUGGCCCUCCGCGGCGGCGGAGCUAGGGUUCGGGGAGACGGCGGGCGCUGCUGGGCGGUGGAAAGGGGGUAGGGGGGAGGCCGUGGGAGAAGAGAGGAGGGCGCGAGGGCAGCCGGCUUAGGAAUGGCGCACCCCGAGCGGUGCGCCAUUAGAAUGUUUUUUUAUAUAGUAAUGGCGCAUGUAUAUGAGGUGCGCCUUCUCUACGUUGUUAACCUCCGAAGUAGUAGCGCAGUGGUGCGUGGGUUUUGCCUGCUAGCAGGAGGUGGUGGGUUCGAAUCCUCUUCCCCCCUCCUUUUUUUCCUUUUAUUUUUUUCUAUGCAUUGUUUUCUUGUGCUGGUUGCACCUUGGUUUGAGAAGUUAAUGCUGUGUUGUGCAUCACACCAUGAGGGUGAUUUAUCUUCCCUCACAACAACAUCUAGUGCAUAGUAUUUUUUUGAUGUUUGCAAGUAGAUGCCUAUGAAUAGGAGUUGAAUCUUGUGAAUAGGUGUUCUAGUGGUAAGUAUGCCGACGGCGGCGGCGGUGGAGCGAGGGAGGGUGCGGGGGGUGCUCGGCGGCGAGAGGGAUCUUGCGAGGGGUGAUAGCGAUCGAGAUGGAGGGGAUCGAGUGUCCUCAUGAAUAUUCAAUAUUUUUUCAUAUUGAAUAUGAAAAAUAUCAUCAAAUUUGAAAAUGUCGAAAUACAAUCGAGAAAUAAAGGCUACAAUUUAAAUACAAUCGAUCUUAGCUAGCUAUUUGUUCACAAUCUUCUUGCCCUUAUUUUUCGUAAAUGGAGUUCUUCUCUUGAACGGACGUCCUUUAGGUAGGGUGGUCCUGCUUCUUCUUGUGGUGUAUGCUGGUACUUCAUCAUCGUCGUCAUGUUCCAUCUUCGGGUCGCCGUACUUGUCGAAGGCUUGCUCAUUGGUGACUCCAUCCAUUCCGAUGAUCUUCCUUUUGCCUCUCCUCACGACAACACGACUGGGCUUUGGCGGGUCGGUAAUGAAGAAGCAUUGGUCCACUUGGGAAGCCAGUACCCAUGGCUCAUUUUUCGCGGUGACGUUUGCGCCCGCGGUCUUGGAUUUGGCUUCGGGUAUAACCAUGGUGGUGAAAUACCAGUCUUCUUUUAUGACGCUCUUGGCCCAUCUGACACGGAACAUCGGGACCUUCUCUCCAGCGUAGCUCAGCUCCCAGAUCUCCUCGAUCCUUGUGUAGUAUUUAUCCUUGUCAUUACCGGUGUAGGAUUCCAUCGUUAUCCCGGAGUUCCGAUAACCAUCGCUCUUCAUGUCCUUUCCCUCGGUGUAGAAUGUGUAGCCGCUGAUAUCGUACGCCUCAUACGUCAUCAGGGUGUGCUCGACGCCCUGUUACAAGGCGAAUAUGAGUUGUUCUUCCGCGGAAGAAUCCUCAUGUAAAGGGUACGACAGAAGCUUCUGCUUGACAAUUUUUUUUGGCAUGACUUUGCCUAAGAAUAGGACAAAAAAGAAUGCAUAGUGCCAAAUUCUCGCCGAAACGGAAAUGAAUCAACAUUCCGGGAAAAUAUUGGCAACUAUCGCAUUUCAAAUACCGGUACCUGCAAACACAAACAUAUAUGCAACACCACAAACAUAUGCAACACCACAAACAUACGUAGAUCUAGCUAGGCCAUAAAAAGUGCAUGUGCACGUUGUUGGAGGGAGAAAAAAGUAGAUCUACAACAUAAAAGCUUUCCCCUUACUUACCUAUCAAAAAAAGGUAAUUUAACCACUUAAUUUGGGUGAAUCUAUGAUGCAAAUGAGGUGAGGAGGAGGAGGCACCCAAGACAAGCUUGGAGGAGGAGGUGGAGAGAAUGAAAGUGGGGAAAGUGAGUGUGGUAGGUGGCUGUCCAAAAUAUCUAGUUGGUCCCAGGUUACUAAUGGCGCACCACCUACAGAUGCGCCAUUAGUAACCCUGGUUACUAAUGGCGCACCGCUUGUGGUGCGCCAUUAGUAGUUCUGCAAAAAAAAAGUAGUGGCGCACCACCAACAGAUGCGCCAUUAGUAACACUGGUUACUAAUGGCACACUAGCUGUGGUGCGCCAUUAGUAGUUUGCAAAAAAAACCAAUUUUUUUUAUAUUAGUGGCGCACUACCAACAGAUGCGCCAUUAGUAACCCUGGUUACUAAUGGCGCAUGAGCUGCUGGUGCGCCAUUAGUAGUUUUGCAAAAAAAAUAAAAAUAAAAAAUAUAGUAGUGGCGCACCGAGUAUGUGGUGCGCCAUUAGUGUCCAUCACACUAAUGGCACACCUGCACAUGGUGCGCCACUACUAUAUAGUAGUGGCGCACUGCUUGUGUGGUGCGCCAUUAGUAUCUAUAUCAUCUAUAGCCCUUUUACUAGUAGUGGUGGACUCUCAUGGCAAAACUGGUUGGAGGUUUAUGGAUGCACAAGUAGUGUCUCUACUUGGUGCGGGAGUUUUGGCUAAUAUGAGGUGGAAGCAAUCGUCACAUGCUAAGGGAUCUCUAAUCAUAUAACAUUGUUUGGAACCAAGCAAACACAAUUCAUUAUGUUGUCUUCCUUGUCCAACAUCUACUCCUAGGCAAGUAAUAGUUUGGUGAGUGCUCACAAUUGUAAAAAGUGUCUAAGAUGAUAUAUUUAUAUGAGAACCUCUCUUUCCUUAUUCCUUCUUAUUAACUGCAACAAUGACUGAGGUCUAUGUUGAUUUAUUCUCAAAAAGUUUCAAUCAUCAUACGUGUCAUACGUGAAGUUAUCAUUUUCCAUAAGAUCAUCUCAUGAUCUUUCAUGCUAUCGUUCUUUUCAUACUUUUGAUCAUGGCAAAAAGAAAAGCCCUUGACUAAGACACUCUUUAUUAUAUAGCUCGUAAGCUCGAAUACAUCGGGAGAGAGAAAAAAGCAAAAGACUCAAACUAAACACUAAAGACUUAUUCCUCUAAGAGAAGAAAUAAAAACUGAAAAGGAAAGAAAUAAAACAAAGGUAAAAGCAAAAGAUAUAAAGGUGAUACGAUACCAGGGCAACUCCCCCAAGCUUGGUAGAAGCCAAGGGGAUUGCCCAUACCAAUGCUUAGUUGCCUUCCUUCGGUGGUGAUGGUGGUGGAGUUGUUGGAGUAGUCUGAUCCUCCGUCUUCCAAGGCAUAGGUGCUCCAUCAUGGCAGGAUGAACGAGUCGCUGGAAUCCUCAAAUCUGCAGCCAACCUUAUUGAUUUAAAUAUGUACUCAUACUCACAGUUUUGGUUCUGCAGGUCAUAGAUCUGGCCUUGAAGUUGAUCAACCCUGUGAUAGAGCCUGGAGAGGUGGUUCCCAAUAUCAAUGGCAUCCAUCUUGUGAUUGCUAGUGAACUCUGUGAUCAUCAUGUGGUUGGCGUUGAGUCCACGCUCCACCAUCCCUUGGCACUUGAAGACUUGUUGCUCCAUUGCUUCGAGCCUCGUCUCCAUGCUUCCGGUCUUCUUAGGCCCCUCAACAUCACGGAUGUGCAACAUCCCCUCGCGCAUCUUGAUAGAUUGAGGGUGUUUCAACACUUCCGUGAGGUAGGGAUUGAUGACCUUCUCGAAGAUCUUGUCCUUAGGAGCGUUUGGGGAAGUCAUGAUGAUCUAGAUCUGUCACACAAACAGGCUCGAAACGAAAACAGAGGAAAACUAUGCGAUACGGAGAUCAAAACCUUCGGGCGACUAUAUAUUGAUUUUUUUCUGGGCCAGAAGGAGUCCUCCACAAGAAAACGGAGUCCGGGAGGCACACGAGGUGCCCACAAGCUUGCCCUCCGCCACCAGGGGGUAGGGGGCGAUGGCAGGGCUUGUGGCCGCCUCGUUCGCUCUCCGGACUGCUUUUUAUUUUUCUAAUUUUCCAAAAAUUCCAAAACGGAGGAAAUUUCCUAUUGGAAAAGCAUUGUAGUCCAGUUUCUUACCGAAACAGAUACAUCUACGUUUUCAAGGUCUAAAACAGGCUGAUAAACAUCCCUUAUGUACUCCUCUGGAGUUAUGACAUUGAUGAUAUUGGUCUCAACAUUUAUGGGAGUACCAGAGAUGUAAUGCUUGAUUCUUUGCCCAUUUACCACUCUAGGAAAAUUUCCUUCCGUGUUAUUGAUUUUGAUGGCACCGGAACAAUAUACUUCCUCGAUAACAUAGGGACCUUCCCAUUUAGAGAGAAGCUUGCCUGCAAAGAAUCUCAAACUAGAAUUGUAUAGCAAGACAUAAUAACCUACAUUGAACUCUCGUUUCUGUAUUCGUUUGUCGUGUCAUCUCUUAACCUUUUCCUUGAACAACUUGGCAUUCUCGUAUGCCUGGGUUCUCCAUUCAUCUAACGAGCUGAUAUCAAACAACCGCUUCUCACCGGGAAGUUUGAAAUCAAAGUUGAGCUCUUUGAUUGCCCAAUAAGCUUUGUGUUCCAGCUCAAGAGGUAAAUGACAGGCUUUACCGUAAACCAUUUUAUACGGUGACAUGCCCAUGGGAUUCUUAUAAGUAGUCCUAUAAGCCCAUAGUGCAUCGUCAAGUUUGCUAGACCAAUUCUUUCGAGAUCUAUUGACGGUCUUUUGUAGGAUCAACUUGAUCUCCCUAUUACUCAACUCCACUUGACCACUAGACUGAGGAUGAUAAGGAGAUGCAACUCUAUGGUUGACAUCAUACUUAGCUAGCAUCUUGCGGAAAACACCAUGAAUGAAGUCUGAACCGCCAUCAAUCAUCAAGUGUCUAGGGACUCCAAAUCUUGGGAAUGUGACUUCUUUAAGCAUCUUAAUAGAGGUGUGGUGAUCAGCAUUUUUAGUGGGGAUAGCUUCUACCCACUUAGUAACGUAAUCCACAGCAACUAAGAUGUGAGUGUACCCAUCGGAACUCGGGAAGGGUCCCAUAUAAUCAAAGCCCCAGACAUCAAAUGGUUCAAUGACAAGUGAAUAGUUCAUAGGCAUUUCCUGAUGCUUACUGAUGUUCCCUAUUCUUUGGCAUUCGUCAGAAGACAAGACAAACUUACGGGCAUCCUUGAAGAGAGUGGGCCAAUAGAAACCUGAUUGCAAUACCUUAUGGGCAGUUCUAUCUCCAGCGUGGUGUCCUCCGUAGGCUUCGGAAUGACACUUCUGACAGAUCUGUCCCUGUUCAUGUUCAGGCACACAAUGUAUAAUAACACCAUCUACUCCUCCUUAUAGAGGUGAGGAUCAUUCCAAAAGUAAUAUCUCAAAUCAAAGAAGAAUUUCUUCUUUUGCUGAUAGGUGAAACUGGGUGGUAUGUAUUUGGCUACGAUAUAGUUUGCAUAAUCUGCAUACCAUGGUGCACUAUGUGAAGUGCGGAUCACAUUUAAUUGCUCAUCAGGAAAGCUAUCAUCAAUAGGUAGUGGGUCAUCAAGGACAUUCUCUAGCCUAGACAAGUUAUCUGCUACAGGGUUAUCAGCACCCUUUCGGUCAACGACGUGCAAAUCAAAUUCCUGUAGCAGGAGAACCCAUCUGAUCAGCCUAGGCUUAGCGUCCUUCUUCUCCAUGAGGUACUUAAUAGCAGCAUGAUCAGAGUGAAUAGUNNNNNNNNNNNNNNNNNNNNNNNNNNNNNNNNNNNNNNNNNNNNNNNNNNNNNNNNNNNNNNNNNNNNNNNNNNNNNNNNNNNNNNNNNNNNNNNNNNNNGUCCAGUUAUCAAGCAACAACACCUUGUUCAUAAUCAGAAGACACUGACUAUCUUUGAUCAACUGGCUAGCCAACUAGAGGCUUGCUAGGGACAGUGUUUUGUCUAUGUAUCCACACAUGUAUUUAAGUCUUCAUUCAAUACAAUUAUAGCAUGGAUAAUAAACGAUUAUCUUGAUACAUGAAUUAUAAUAAUAACUAUAUUUAUUAUUGCCUCUAGGGCAUAAUUUCAACACCGAGCGCGUCCGCAGACGUAUGGAGGGUAUUUUGAGGCGUUAAGCUGUAGAUGCAUUUGGGCCUAAUCGGCAUAUUUUGAGGGCUAAAUUUUAAAGAGUAGAAUAAAUAAACGAGUCAAUAAGAGACGUGUGCACGCUCCAAAAAUUGUAAAUCCGAACCUUAUGCACGUAGACAACAAAAGAAGACAUGUAGCGUCAAGAAACUAUUUUUUGUAUACUCUUCACGGCUGAGUUUGUCUCUAUUUUCUCCCUAUGUAUAUUAAAUUCAGAUUUAAAUUUGUGUUGGAUUGUAAGCAAAUAUUCGGUCAUCUCGCUCUAUUUUUCCAACAAUUGUUACAACCUCUUUUCAGGGUAGUUCCGUGCAUUGGUAUCAAGGUAGCAUCCAAAAUGCUUGUAGAACCACUAGCGAUCUAACUAAUAACGUCCCUUGGUGCUUUCUACCAGCGGACGUUAUUAGUUAGAACGUUAGUGGAUCCACCUCCUUCUACCGUCUCUCAGGUGGUCAAUAACAUAGAGGGGAAUCCUCCAGGUGCCUCGACUUCGUCCGUAGUUUAGCUUUUCUUCUUCUCUCGCAUGGCACGCGGAUGGUGGUGCUUCAUCUUUGGAUGGGCCUUUCAGGUUUCGAUCCUUAUCGUGUUCGUCCAUCGAGAGAGAGUCGGCGAAGUUCGAGCAUUGUUCCUAUCCUCUUCUUGGGACGGCGAGGUUAGGGUUUCUCGAUGUGUGUGUGCACGAUGACGAGAUUUGGUGUUAGACACUUUAGAUCGGUUCAAGGGUUCAAUGGUGAUGACAGCGGAUCUCGGAAGAUGGUCCUUAGGGGCACACACACGAAGAUUUUUUGUUAUUGACAAGGUCAAGAUGACACAGGUAGGGGAGCGACGAUAGUGACGUGUCGACGACUCAGUCUAUUGGCAGUUGUGUUCGGUGGUGCGUUAUCCUCAUGUGAUUUUAUUAUGAUUUGGGUGCUUUGUACUGUUUAUGAAUCUUGAUAAUAGAUCUAGGUUAUUUUUCACGAAAAAUGCUUGCAAACCGGAGCCUUUCUCGACUUGGCAUGUGCUUUUGUAAGUAUUAUUCACAACCAAUAUAAAAUGCACAGAAUGUAUAUGCAUGGAAUGUAUAUCCAAGUGAGAAUAAGCGUUAGGGAGGUUACUGAUAAAUUACAUCGAGUUAGGUGUGCAGGCGGGCAUGUAAAUGCAAAUUAAUCGUUGCUUUGAUGCUGCCCAUGCGAUUUUGAUCUGAUGGCCGAGGACAGAACGGAUGCAUGGAUAUACAUCUCCCUCCGAUGCAUAGGAUAUGUUGCCUUUAUAUUGUUACAACUAAUUGUAUCUUCAUUUCGAAAGCUACAGUAUCAGCUUUCAACACAUAGAAGCGGUACAUGAGUGCCGGAAGCAUAAUGGUGCAUGGAGUUGUCCAGUAACUAGAGGAUAGUGGGCGUGAGAGGAACAAGGAUGACACGAUGUCUUUUUCCCGGAGGGACACAAUGAGUAACAUGUUUGGUGGAGAAGAUUAAUUAAAGAAUUAGGAAUGAAUGUCUGCAGUGUAUGUAAAAAAGACGAAGAUGUAUGUCUACAAUGUACUGUAAAAGAAGGAUGUAUGCCUACAUUGGAAGUUGUCGAGUAUUACUUGCACCUGUGGCAAAAGGGUGGAGGACGUGUUUGUGUGCCUGAAAAAUAAUUAUCUUUAUAAUCAGCUUAUAAAUAGUAAACCCAUGGAAAGCUUUUUUUUUUAUGGAUUUACAAAAAAAGCUUAUAAAUAGUAAAUCCAUCAGUUUGCUAUUUAACAGUUGCCUGUUUUUCAGUGUGCAACAAUCUGAUUUUCCUAUAAUGAUCUAAUAGCUCCAUCGUGAUGGCGGCACUUACAUAUGACUCUUUUCAUAGAUCUGCAUACAAUCACCUCAUGAUAGAAAUCAAGAAGCUUUUGGAAUCGCAUGAUUUUAUUCGACAGAAGAUUGAUCGUCAUCAAAAUAAAGUUGCUCAUAGUCUAGCUAAUAUAGGUUGCUCUGAAGGUAGCACCGCGUGUUGGUUGCGCCGUGUUCCACACUGUAUCACUCAUCUUGUUUUAGCAGACUGUAACACUAUUUCAAAGAAAUAAAACUCUUUUAUUUCGUUAAAAAAAAUAGUUGCCUGUUUUUCUUUUCCAUUUCAGUUUUUAUAUUGUAUAUUUAUUCUGUCUUUUUUAUUUCUUUCUCUACGUAUCAGUCAUUUUCGUGUGUGAGUGAACGUGUGCGUGUGCACAUUCUCAAAAGAAGACGUGUGUGUGCUUGUGUAAUGGUGUGUGCGCUUUCUUUCUUUGUGUGCGCGUGUUCUUUUGUGUGCAUGCAUUCUUUUUUUAAAUCUUUGCAUUCAUGUUUCUUUAGAGCAAGUACAAUAGAGCUGAGUGAGCUGGCUAUAAGAAAUAAACUAAUAUAUUUUUAUUUAGUUAGAGGAAAGAGAAGAGGAGAGAGAAGGUAAACGGACUCUUAGCUAAGAACCAGCUCUAGCACGUGCUCCUAGGUCUUUUGUGAGUAUGAAAGGUGAACCAUAUAAUAAAAGAGUAGUACAUUUUUCAAUGAACUAUUGUACAUGUUGACUAUAAGAUGUGCUAUAAAUGACAUGACAAUGACUUAGCCAGCAGCUGACUAUACUAUUGUACUUGCUCUUAGCGGUGUGUAUGUAUGUGUUGUGUGUAUGUGUGUGUCUUCGUGUAUCUAUGUGCAUGUGUGCGCACACACUCACAUGUGUGCGCAUACGUGUGCAUGUUAGUAUAUACAUGUAUGUGGUGAAGUGAGCAAGUUAGAUGGUUAACCUUUUCUAGUGGAACCAGCCCAUCGAAAUUUAAGUUCUAGAUCUACUAUUGAGUAUAUUGAUUAGUUAAGAAACAUAAGAUAGAUUAGGAAUUAUUCUGUCUUGUCUUGUACUUCAAAUUAAUCAUAUACUCCUAUAUAUAUAUAUGUUUACGAGGUUCAAUCAAUACAACAAUUAUUCCAUCAAUCUCUCUAUUCCUAUUCAACAUGGUAUGUGUCGCAAGUUUCUAGAUCUAGCCGCCGCCCGCCGCUUCUGCACCACGCGCCGCCCCCGGGGUGAACGGUCUCCAUGACCGUCGCCGGGGGCCGCAUCGCCAGUACCUACGGUUCAUCCGCCGGUUAUGUUGACCGGCCGCCCUAGAGAGUCUUUUAGUCUCUUGAUCCGGGUUUUCUCUCUCAUGCCAGUCUCUUGAUCGGCGUUCUUCCUUUUUGGUUUUCCGAUCUAAGAUCGGUUUGCGUCGCCUGCCGCCGCCGUCGCCCACCGCGCAUCUACUUCGACAUCGGCACGAUCCAGCCUCUACACCGACAUGACGGCCUCACGCGAUGCGGCGGCCCCUUCUGGCCAUCGACCGCGCGUCUUCCCAUUGUCGUUCUGCACCGACCGUCGCCACCCUUCUCCGACCGGAACUGCUUCAUCAUCACCCGCCUCCACCGUCGCCUCGUAUGGUCGCGCACCGGCUGCCUCGGGUCGGCUGCCUGCUCCGGCCGCGUCGGCUACCUCGGGUCGGCUACCGACUCCGACCGCAUCCGCCUCCCCGCUUGCGUCGAGCCGGUUGCGUCGGGUCGGCAACCAGCUCCGGCUGCGCCGGCUGCCUCGGGCCGGCUGUCGGCUCCGGCCGCAUCGGCCUUGCCGCCUGCCUCGGGUCGGCUACGUCGGCACCCGGCUCCGGCCGCANNNNNNNNNNNNNNNNNNNNNNNNNNNNNNNNNNNNNNNNNNNNNNNNNNNNNNNNNNNNNNNNNNNNNNNNNNNNNNNNNNNNNNNNNNNNNNNNNNNNCGUAGGUCUGAAGUGAACUACUCACGAGUCAUUGGAGGGGCGAUGAUGUUGAUGAAGAUGCCCUCCAACUCCAAAGUCCCCUCCGGCAGGGCACCGGGAAGGGUCUCCAGAUGAGAUCUCGCGGAAACGGAAGCUUGCGGCGGCGGAAAAGUAUUUUCGAGGCUCCCCUGAUUUUUUGUUGUAUUUUAGGGAAUAUAUAGGCCAAAGAUCUAGGUCAGGGGCGCUCAGGGAGGCCACACGCCCUGCCACCGCGGCCUCCCCCUGGUGGCGGAGUGGGGGCUUGUGGGCUCCCUGGAGCCCUCCUGGCUUGGCCCACAGGCCCCUUGAUCUUCUUCCGUUCGGGAAAAAAUCAUUUCGGGGAUUUUAUUCCGUUUGGACUCCCGUUCCAAAAUCAGAUCUGAAAAGACCCAAAAACACAGAAAAAACAGGAACUGGCACUUGGCACUGAAUUAAUAAGUUAGUCCCAAAAAAGAUAUAAAAGGUACAUAAAACAUCCAAAGAUGACAAGAUAACAGCAUGAAACCAUCAAAAAUUAUAGAUACGUUUGAGACGUAUCAGUUGCCAGCACCGGGCAUGCGUAGAUGGACAAAGACGAUGUUGACGAUGCGUCGCUCCAGGUUUGCCACGCCUGGGAACACGCCGGGGACGAAGGCACGCUUCGAUGUUGCCAGCACCGGGCAUGCGUAGAUGAGGGACCUCCACAAGUUGUACGUCAUGUCGAGGAGUCAGGGUAGAUGACAUCGACGCUGGCGAGGAGCUGGUGGUGGACGAAUGACGAAGGGGGUUGACGGCCGGUGCGGCUCGGGUGAGCGAGUUGCAGCGCCGCCAAAGGAGAGCGGUGGCGGCGGUGCUGGCCUAACGGCAGGGACGGCGGCGUAGACCGCGUGCCGCAAUGCGAUGCCCGACGGGGUAGCGUAGCGGUAGUGCGCGAUUCAUGCAGCCGAGGGAAGAACCACGGGGCGGCGGCGCUGCGGCCCGAUGAGCGACGCAGUGGUAGCCCAUUGCUCGAUCGGUGGAGUGGCGCGCUUUACUCGGGACAGUCUUCACGGGACCUGCGAAGGCACGCGCAACCGAUGGGCCAGAUCGGUUGCAUGGCAUAGAUGAGGUGGAUCACGGACGGGCGAGUGAUCAAUCCGAUCGCACGCGAUUUCGGGGACGUCGCUCGAUGGAGGCGGGCUGGCGGCGUCCGAGUUGAGGACGGCCAUGACGAUCGCAGGCGAAGCCGGCAGCCGGCUUGAUGCGGCCGACGACACAGCUGGCGAGGCCGACAUAGCUGCCAGCCAGCAGCCGACCUAAGGCAGGCAGUGAGCCCAGCCGAUGAGGCCGAUGCGGCUGGAUCCGGCAGCCGGCCCGACGCAGGUGGCGAGGCCGAUGCGGCCGGAGCCGGGUGCCGACGUAGCCNNNNNNNNNNNNNNNNNNNNNNNNNNNNNNNNNNNNNNNNNNNNNNNNNNNNNNNNNNNNNNNNNNNNNNNNNNNNNNNNNNNNNNNNNNNNNNNNNNNNUAAGAUCAUAUAACUCACUGACACCGGAGGAAUACUUUGUGUGUAUCAAACGUCGCAACGUAACUGGGUGACUAUAAAGAUGCUCUACAGGUAUCUCCGAAGGUGUUCGUUGAGUUAGUAUGGAUCGAGACUGGGAUUUGUCACUCCGUGUGACGGAGAGGUAUCUCGGGACCCACUCGGUAAUACAACAUCACACACAAGCCUUGCAAGCAAUGUGACUUAAUGUAAGUUGUGGGAUCUUGUAUUACGGAAUGAGUAAAGAGACUUGCCGGUAAACGAGAUUGAAAUAGGUAUACGGAUACUGACGAUCGAAUCUCGGNNNNNNNNNNNNNNNNNNNNNNNNNNNNNNNNNNNNNNNNNNNNNNNNNNNNNNNNNNNNNNNNNNNNNNNNNNNNNNNNNNNNNNNNNNNNNNNNNNNNNNNNNNNNNNNNNNNNNNNNNNNNNNNNNNNNNNNNNNNNNNNNNNNNNNNNNNNNNNNNNNNNNNNNNNNNNNNNNNNNNNNNNNNNNNNNNNNNNNNNNNNNNNNNAGAUCCAAUAUCGGCAUCCAGGUCCCGCUAUUGGAUAUUGACCGAGGAGUCUCUCGGGUCAUGUCUACAUAGUUCUCNNNNNNNNNNCGGGAUCUUGUAUUACGAAACGAGUAAAGAGACUUGCCAGUAAACGAGAUUGAAAUAGGUAUACGGAUACUGACGAUCGAAUCUCGGGCAAGUAACAUACCGAAGGACAAAGCGAAGGACAUACGGGAUUAUAUGAAUCCUUGGCACUGAGGUUCAAACGAUAAGAUCUUCGUAGAAUAUGUAGGAUCCAAUAUGGGUAUCCAGUUCCCGCAAUUGGAUAUUGACCGAGGAGUCUCUCGGGUCAUGUCUACAUAGUUCUCGAACCCGCAGGGUCUGCACACUUAAGGUUCGACGUUGUUUUAUGCGUAUUUGAGUUAUAUGGUUGGUUACCGAAUGUUGUUCGGAGUCCCGGAUGAGAUCACGGACGUCACGAGGGUUUCCGGAAUGGUCCGGAAACGAAGAUUGAUAUAUAGGAUGACCUCAUUUGNNNNNNNNNNAAGUUAUAUGGUUGGUUACCGAAUGUUGUUCGGAGUCCCAGAUGAGAUCAAGGACGUCACGAGGGUUCCCGGAAUGGUCCGGAAACGAAGAUUGAUAUAUAGGAUGACCUCAUUUGAUUACCGGAAGGUUUUCGGAGUUACCGGGAAUGUACCGGGAAUGACGAAUGGGUUUCUGGAGUUCACCGGGGGGGCAACCCAUCCCGGGGAAGCCCAUAGGUAUUGGGGGUGGCACACCAGCCCUUAGUGGGCUGGUGGGACAGCCCAAGAAGUCCCUAUGCGCCAUAGGAAGAAAAUCAAAGAGAAAAGAAAAAAAAAGAGGAGGUGGGAAAAGGGGGAAGGACUCCUCCUUCCAAACCUAGUUGGACUCGGUUUGGAAGGGGAGGGCUGCCCCCCUUGGAUCGGCCGAAACCCUUAAGGGUCCUUGGACCCCAAGGCAAGGCUCCCCCUCUUCCCCCUAUAUAUANNNNNNNNNNGCCCUAUGCGCCAUAGGAAGAAAAUCAAAGAGAAAAGAAAAAAAGGAGGAGGUGGGAAAAGGGGGAAGGACUCCUCCUUUCAAACCUAGUUGGACUCGGUUUGGAAGGGGAGGGCUGCCCCCCUUGGCUCGGCUGAAACCCUUAGGGGUCCUUGGACCCCAAGGCAAGGCUCCCCCUCUUCCCCCUAUAUAUACGGAGGUUUUAGGGAUGAUUUGAGACGACUUUUCCACGGCAGCCCGACCACAUACCUCCACGGUUUUUCCUCUAGAUCGCGUUUCUGCGGAGCUCGGGCGNNNNNNNNNNNNNNNNNNNNNNNNNNNNNNNNNNNNNNNNNNNNNNNNNNNNNNNNNNNNNNNNNNNNNNNNNNNNNNNNNNNNNNNNNNNNNNNNNNNNAUGGAAAGGGCUGGUUUGAUGAGCUACAGUCCAUGAUGUGGUCCAGCCGCACCACCGCGACCAAGCCCACUGGCGAGACCCCCUUCUUCCUCGUCUACGUGACUGAGGCGAUCCUCCCCCAUAGCUUAAGUAUGGUUCUUCGUGGGUGUUGGUGUUUGAUGAGGCGCAUCAUGCCAACACACGGGAAGCCAGCCUCCUCCUCCUCAGGAGGCCCACACCCGGGACGCCUUCGUGCUGCGACAUACCAGCAGGCCUUGCGGAGAAACCACAGCCGCCACGCCCGCCCUCGUACCCUCGAGGUCGGGGACUUUGUCCUGAGGUGGGUUCCCUCCAGGGAGGGCCUUCACAAGCUCUCACACAUGUGGGAGGGCCCCUUCAGGAUCACCCAUGUCUCCAGGAGUCGGAGGGUGGGAGCCCGAUGCCGAACACCUAGAACAUUCAACACCUCCCGAAGUUCUACCCGUGACACUCUCAUGUAAGAAUGAGUGGGUUGUAUACGCCCGGAGCCUCCCAAGUGGAAGACCACGUCGAGCCGCGUCGUGGCCUCGGAAGGGGGCUCCACGCCCAUGUCGAAGUCACUAUGCUCCCACUACCAGAAUGACUGUUGAACUGCGACUAUGCCCACGCCCAAGUGUAAGCCCCACGCAUCACGCUUGGGGACGAUCGAAGAAGAAGCCUCGCGGGCUGCAACUAACCCUAGCCUGACCCGUGCUGGACACGGCACACGCAUUCCCUUCAGGUUGACCAGUGGUGGACACGACAACUGCAUUUCUUUCUAAGCUGACUCGUGCUGGACACGACAGCCGCUUUUCUUCCCUUCUUUUUUCACUUGUAAACAAGCUCACCAGGCUGACCAGUGCCAGACACGGCAGCCACAUCUCCCCUUUUUUGCUUGUAAACAAGUUCGUCUCUGGUUUUAAUAUAGAUUCUGGUAUUUUGGUUUUUGCGGAGUUUCCUUGGUUUUUUCUUUUCUUACCAUGCGCGCUCGACGUCUACCUCUUGAACGUCACACGAGCGGGGGAUGGGGUAUGGUACCCACGCCCGAGAUACAUGCUUCGUCCACGGGCCUGUCCCCGCGUGCACCACCUCACCAAGGCCCUUAGUGCCUAAUUCCCUUGUACGACACGCAAGAGAGAGCUGACGAGUGUGGGUCAUGCCCCCGAGGCAAAACACCCUAUGCACGGGAAAGCGGGACAUUCAGCAAGAAGAUGGCCUAUCGAGUGUAGCGCCUGAGGAGGAUCCCGGCCUACUCCGGGCAUCCUCGCCGCUUGGCCCUACCCACGCGAUCACGUCCUAGUUUACCGGUGACGGAUGAGCCUCACAUAAGGGUUGCAUUCGAAUAAUACAAGGUAUGGAGUGGUACCAGAGGAAGCCACACAAAAGCACAAGUAUUCAUGACAUGAGCAUGAAUUUCAAUACCAAAGUCGCUGGCUUCACACCUCGGUGGGACUACAAGCUGGCAUGGACAUGGGGGUCGAGGGAAGCCUAGAGGGACGCGUCGCUCUCAUCGCCAUCGUCAUCCCCGUGUGCUUCAGCUUCAUUGUCGUCAUCAUAAAUCGCGUGUCCCUCGGCACCCCCUGACCCUCGAGUUUCUCAGGGUUAAACUUCAUCCUCAGCACGUCAACAUGGUCUCCCACGGCUUCCCCCAGGGCGUCGUGGGUCGCCUUAGAAACGGGGGCCAUUGCAGCCUCGAAAUUGAAGUCGGGGUCGGUGCGGAGGAGGUUGCUGAAGACGCGCGUCAACGCCUAGGACAAGAUAUCGCGGCUUUCCUCCUCGAUCAAGAUGCCCACCUGUCUGGCGCCCGCCUCAAUUCGUUCACAACCUCGGUGAAAAAAAUCAAGAUAACCAGCAUCGUUGGGCACGAGAGGACUGGAGAUGCUCCCUCCAUAGAUGGAACCCAAGGCUCAGCAUGCCCGCCGCUCGAGGCCUUGGAACAUCUUCGAGCGCAUGUGUUGCAGCCAUUGGGCCUCCUUCGCCUUGUCAGUAACCCGCUCCACAAGGAACGCAGCGCCGCCCACUUGCCCCUAAGGUGACGCCAGCUCGGCCGUGACAACGGCUUGGGCCUGAAGCGUGGCUUCCCGCUGGCCUUCCGCAAGAGUAAGAACCUCUUUAAGACCAUCUAUCUCGCGCAGCAGCUUUGCGCGCCGAGCCGUGAAGCGGAUCUCCUGCAGCUUUAGCGUGUUUCUGUAAUCCUUGCGGGCUUGCUCGACCCAUGCAUUGACUUACCCUUGGAUCUCUUCCACUCGUUGAUUGUAGGUGGCAAUGGCAACGGUAACGUCUCAAUCCAGCACCUCCAGCCGCUUGCACUCCAAGUCCACCUCCGACGAUGUCAAAGCAAGUUGUUGUUCGAGGGCCAGGAGAUCUGCCUCGUCGAGGGUGAGCUCGCGCGCCCCGUCCACUCGUCAAGUUGCUGCUCCAAAACGGUGUUUGAAGCCUGAAGCUCACGCUCACGGGCCUCUGCAGCCUUGCGACGCUCGUCCGCUUCUUCGGCUUCGCGAUGGGCGCCAUCGCUCGCCUCGGCGGCGGAUACUUUGACCUUUGUCUGUGCCACUUCAUGUUGGCGGUUACUCAGCUUGACGGCACCGAUGAAGCAUGUGUCGGCACCCCUAAGCUCUGCACUGAGCUGCCACAGUGUGCUCAUGGCGUUCCGCUGGAUGUUGUGACGGAUCAAGGUCCAGGAGGCCACGAGUUCUAGGGCCCAAUACGGCUGGGACCCAGCGCCUUCGUCCAUCGUCGGGGUCCCGGAGGCUCCCGCACCGCCCGUUGGUGGUUGGAGAUGGUUGAUGCUCGCCCUACCACAUCAAGGCAGGGCAUCACGGGCGGAGGGCUCGAGGCCGCCUCCAAGGCGGCUAGCUCCUCAAAGUUGUCCAUGGCAUUGGCCGGGACACCCGGGGUGGUUGGCGGCUCUGUCCCAUUCUGCUGAACACUCGACACGGAGGAAGGCGUCCCCGAGGGGCCAUGAACACGUCUUCACUCGCGGAGUCUCUUGCAGGGGGUGGUGGGGCAGUCGUCCCCCUUCGCCCCGCGCCCUCGAUGGGCAAAAAUGGAGUCGCGUCACGACCAGGCGCGUUGCUCGUGCUAUGGUGUGGCGCGUUUUGACCACUUACCUGAUACGUCCAUUUUGCAUCAUGCUUUCAUGUUGAUAUUUAUUGCUUUUUGGGCUGUUAUAUUACNNNNNNNNNNUACUUGGUGCGCCAUUAGUAUACCAGAUACUAAUGGCGCACCGUGAGCAAUACUAAUGGCGCACUGCCUGGUGCGCCAUUAGUAUACCAGAUACUAAUGGCGCACCUGGCGCACCUAUAGUGCGCCAUUAGUAGCCAAAAUAGGUGCGCCAUUAGCAAGCCUUUUCCUAGUAGUGCACCAUACCUACCUAUGGAUUGAAUAAGAUCCUUCAAGUAAGUUGUCAUCGGUGCAAGCAAUAAAAAUUGCUCUCUAAUAUGUAUGAUCUAUUAGUGUGUGGAAAAUAAACUUUGUACGAACCUGUGAUGAGGAAGACAUAAAAGCGACAGACUGCAUAAUAGAGUUCUUUAUCACAGGAGGCAAUAUAAAGUGACGUUCCUCCACACUAAGAGGACACGCAUUCAAACCUCAAAAGCGCAUGACAACCUCUGCUUCCCUCUGCGAAGGGCCUAUCUUGUACCUUUACUUUUUGCCCUUGUAAGAGUCAUGGUGAUCAUCACCAAUUCCCUAUUUUUGCCUUUGUCUUGCCUACCGUCACAUGCUUGGGAAAGAUCUAUAUUCAUAUAUCAACUUGGAGUUGAGUACUUAUGCUUUAUUGUUGUUGACUUUACCUUUGAGGUAAAUGGUUGGGAGGCAAAACUAUAAGCCCCCAUCUUCCUCUGUGUCAAGCUGAAACUUUGACACCUUGAGUACCACGUGAGUUGUAACAAUUGUGGAAAACAAAAGAGAUGAUUGAGUAUGUGGGUUUGCCUUACAAGCUCUUAUUUGACUCUUUCUGAUGUUGUGAUAAAUUGCAAUUGCUUCAAUGACUAUGGUUUAUUGUUGGUUACUUCUCGGUAAGGUUUUUGCUUCAUGCUUUGCUUUGUGAAGGAAUUGUUACUUUCCCAUAAGAAUCAUUAUAAUGUAUUGUUGUCCUUUGUGUGAUCAUGAUGCCCUCAUGUCCGUAUUAUGUUUUAUCGACACCUUCGUCCCCAAACAUGUGGACAUGUUUGUGGAACUUGGUUUUCGCUUGAGGACAAGCGAGGUCUAAGCUUGGGGGAGUUGAUACGUCCAUUUUGUAUCAUGCUUUCAUGUUGAUAUUUAUUGCUUUUUGGGCUGUUAUAUUACUUGUGGUACCAUAUUUAUGCCUUUUCUCUCUUAUUUUGCAAGGUUUAUUUGAAGAGGGAGAAUUCAGGCAGCUGGAAUUCUGGACUGGAAAAGGAGCAAAUCCUAGUCCACUAUUCUGCACAUCUCCAAAUGUCCUGAAAAGUUACGUGGAUUUUUUUGGGAUUAUAUAAAAAUUACUGGGCGAAAGAACUACCAGAGGGGGGCUGCCAAGGCGCCACAAGCCCUGAGACCGCCAUCCCCCUGGUGGCGGAGUGGGGGCUUGUGGGCUCCCUGACGGCCCACUAGCCCCCCUCUUUUGCUAUNNNNNNNNNNACACAUCUCCAAAUGCCCUGAAAAGUUACCUGGAUUUUUUUGGGAUUAUAUAAAAAAUACUGGGCGAAAGAACUACCAGAGGGGGGCUGCCAGGGCGCCACAAGCCCUGACACCGCCACUCCCCCCUGGGGGCGGAGUAGGGGCUUGUGGGCUCCCUGACGGCCCACUAGCCCCCCUCUUUUGCUAUAUGAAGAGUCUUGGUCCAGAAAAAAUCAGACAGGAGCUUUUUCGUGGUUUCGCCGCUGCCACGAGGCGGAACUUGAGCAGAUCCAAUCUAGAGCUCCGGCAGGACGAUCCUGCCGGGGAAACUUUCCUCCCGGAGGGGGAAAUCGUCGCCAUCGUCAUCACCAACACUCCUCUCAUCGGAGGGGAGGCAUCUUCAUCAACAUCUUCAUCAGCACCAUCUCCUCUCCAAUCCCUAGUUCAUCUCUUGUNNNNNNNNNNNNNNNNNNNNNNNNNNNNNNNNNNNNNNNNNNNNNNNNNNNNNNNNNNNNNNNNNNNNNNNNNNNNNNNNNNNNNNNNNNNNNNNNNNNNUGAGAACAGAGUAACGCCUUAAUCAAGAUGACAUGAUGUAGAUGGACAAUCUCAUAUCUACGAUAAAAGCCCAUCUUGUUACCCAUGAUGGCAACAACACGAUGCGUGCCUUGCUGCCCUUUCUGUCACUGGGAAAGGUCACCACACGGUAUGAACCCAAAACCAAGCACUUCUCCCAUUGCAAGAAUCAUAGAUCUAGUUGGCCAAANNNNNNNNNNAAAGAACAGAGUAACGCCUUAAGCAAGAUGACAUGAUGUAGAUGGACAAUCUCAUAUCAACGACAGAGCCCACCUUGUUACCCUUGAUGGCAACCACUCAAUGUGUGCCUUGCUGCCCCUACUGUCACUCGGAAAGGUCACCACAUGGUAAGAACCCAGAACCAAGCACUUCUCCCAUUGCAAGAAUCAUAGAUCUAGUUGGCCAAACAAAACCCAAGACUCGGAGAAACUUACAAGGAUAUCAAAUCAUGCAUAUAAGAAAUCAGCAAAGACUCAAAUAUAUAUCAUAGAUACUCUGAUCACAAAUCCACAAUUCAUCGGAUCUCGACAAACACACCGCCAAAGAGGAUUACAUCGGAUAGAUCUCCAUGAAGAUCAUGGAGAACUUUGUAUUGAAGAUCCAAGAGAGAGAAGAAGCCAUCUAGCUACUAACUACGGACCCGUAGGUCUGAAGUGAACCUCUCACGAGUCAUUGGAGGGGCGAUGAUGAUGAUGAUGAAGCCCUCCAACUCCAAUGUCCCCUCCGGCAGGACGCCGGGAAGGGUCUCCAGAUGAGAUCUCGCGGAAACGGAAGCUUGCGGCGACGGAAGAGUGUUUUUGUGGAUGCCCUGAUUUUUUUUGGAUUUUUAGGGAAUGCAUAGGCCAAAGACCUAGGGCAGGGGAGCACCAGGGGGGCCACAAGCUUGGUUGUCGCGGCGUCCCCCCUAGCCGCGGCAACAGGGCUUGUGGGCCCCCUGUGGGCCCACUUUCUUGGCCCUCAAGCCUCCCGAUCUUCUUCCGUUCUGGAAAUAUUUAUUUCGGGGAUUUUAUUCCGUUUGGACUCCAUUCCAUAAUCAGAUCUGAAAAGAGUCAAAAACACAGAAAAAUUAGGAACUGGCGCUUUGCACUGAAUUAAUAAGUUAGUCCCAAAAAAGAUUUAAAAGGUAAACAAAACAUCCAAAGUUGACAAGAUAACAACGUGAAACCAUCAAAAAUUAUAGAUACGUUUGAGACGUAUCACGCUCGUGAAGCUAGACCUAGCACGCACCUUCGACUCGAUCAUAUGGCCAUUCAUGUUUGAUGCCCUUUGCCAAUAUGGCCCUGGCACCCGGUUCCUUGAUUGGUUGGUGAAAAGAUCGAUAUGGUUGACUAGAGGGGGGUGAAUAGGCAACUAACAAAUAUUAAAACUUUUUUACAAACAAAUAUGGCUUAGCGAUAAAUAGGUUGACUAGAUAUGAAACUAGGAGAGCAACCUAUAUGACGCUAACAACAAUAAUAAGAAGCAAUAAGUAAAUACAAGUAAAAUUAAUAAAUAACCACAAGUGGAAACGACGAAGACGUGGGUAUGUUUCUGAAGUUCCUUCCCUUUGAGGGGAACUACGUCGCUGUUGGAGCGGUGUGGAGGCACGAUGCUCCCCAAGAUGCCACUAGGGCCACUGUAUUCUCCUCACGCCCUCACACGAUGCGAGGUGCCGUGAUUCCACUAAGUGGUGCCCUUGAAGGCGACGACCGAACCAAUACAAACAAGGUUGGGGCAAUCUGCAUAAUUUAAUUGGAGGCUCCCAACAAGACCAUGAAGCUUCACCACAAUGGAAUAUGGCUUCGAGGUGACCUCAACCGUCUAGGAUGCUCAAACACCCAAGAGUAACAACAUCCGCAAGGGAUUAGUGGGGGAAUAAAAUUUCUCUUGGUGGAAGUGUAGAUAAAGGCCCUCUCAACCAAACCCUAGAAUAUCAACAAGAUUUGUUGGCUAGGGAGAGAGACCGGGCUAAAAUGGAGCUUGGAGCAACAAUGGAGCUUAGGGGGGCAAAGGUGAAGUUCUUACAGAAGUAGAACCCCUUAUAUAGUGGGAAGGGAAUCUGCCCGUUGCCCACCACUUUUGCACAAGACAGAGCGGUACUACCGCUCCUGGGAGUGGUACUACCAAUGAUAAGCGGUAGUACCGCUAAGGGUGAACGGUACUACCGCUCAGGCAAAAAGGGGCAAGCAAAAACAGAGGCAACAACGCUAGUACCACUGGGGGCGGUUGUACCAAACGGUAGUACCGCUCUACGGGCAGUACUACCGCUCCAUACUAUCGCAAAACACGCCCAUAAAGAGUGUUCGCACUUUUGAGAUCGGCACAACCCGGCGGCACCUGAGAAAACUACCGCACUAAGAGGCACUACCGCCCGCAGGGCGUAACUACCGAUAAUAAGCGGUAGUACCGCUGCUAGGCAUGAUAGGAAGGAAGAGAAAGCUCCAUUGAAGCGGAAAAGAGGUGAAGGAGAAGUCUACGUGAUGAUUCCACGCGCACUUUUCCAAAGCGGAUCCCCUCUUAAUAGUACGGCUUUUCCUAUGACCCAAGUCCACCGACAACGAAGCGUAAGAGCAAAAUCGUCUUCUCAUCAGAACACCGAGGGGUAAGAACCGUCCUUGUGCAAACCUAGGAAAUUCUUGAAAGACUUAUUGCUCACGAUUAGUCCGCAAAAGUGUUGUCAUCAAUCACCAAAAUUACAGGAGUAGAAAUAUGCCCUUGCAUCUAGCCAUCCUACUCUCCUCGGCAAGAACCAGAGUGAUCGUCAAUGGAGAACCAGGCCCACCAAUUUGGCAUAGAUGUGGGUUCUGCCAGGGUGAUGCGCUAUCACCCCAGGUCUUCGUGCUCGCGAUCGUUAUGCUAGGUCGCCUGCUUCGUUGUGCCACCCAGUUGGGUGUACUACAUCAGCUUCACCCACGACACCAGAUGUCAUCGGUUUACCUCUACGCAUAAGACAUGAUCCUCUUCUAUCACCCCACUUUGAGCAACAUCUCCUUUGUCAAGUGCAUCAUGUGGCUAUUUGGGUGCGCCUUGGGCCUCUAGGUCAACUACUCAAAGAGAACGGCCACCUUGAUUCGCAGCAAUGCGGAUGCAGCCGCGCCCGUUGUAUAGUUACUAGGUUGCCCUAUCGUCGAGUUGCCCAUACCUAUUUGGGCAUUUCUCUAACGCUGCGUCGGCCUCCCACUGCCCAGCUCCACCCCGUCGUCGACAAGACUACCCACAUGCUCCCUUGUUGGAAGGUGCAUCUCAUGAACAAAGCCAGCCGCCUUGCAUUCUUGAAGGCCCUCCUCAGUGUGAUCCCGAUACAUCAGCUUCUUGCUCUAGCUCCCCCCAAGAAAACCACUCAAGGUGCUCGAGAAGAUCCAGUGAGGCUCCCUCUAGGCCGGGCGCAUUGAGGCAAACGGCGACCUGUGCCAUGUCAACUGGCAAUGGGUUGCCUGGACGAUCCCCAUUGGAGGUCUUGGCAUCUGUGACCUCACGCACACCAGCCUCCCAUUGCGCACACGGUAGCUCUCGUUCAGCCGCACAGACACCACCGGAGCAUGGGCAGGCCAAGACUUGCAAUUCUCCGACCAAGUGCACGCAUUCUUCUUCGCCUCCACCUUCAUGCAACUGGGAAAUAGCACGGACGACCACUUUUUGGGAGGAUCAUUGGAUUGGCGGAUGCUCCAUCCGCGAAAUCGCUCCGCUCCUAUACAUGUGCAUCAUCAAGCACCAGCACAAGAUCAGGAAGGUUGUGGAGGGGCUUGUGGCCAACUGUAGGAUCAAAAGUAUGUCUAGAGGGGGUGAUUAGACUACUUGACAAGAUAAAAACCUAGCCUAUUCCCAAUUUUAAGUUUGGUCCAGUUUUACCAAUUAUGACUAGUCAUGUACACCCUACAAAUGCACACCUAAGAGUAUAGUAGCGGAAAGUAAAACAUGCAAGUGUAAAGUAGAGGGUAAGGUAAGGAGAUCAAACCUAAGGGUUGACACGGCGAUUUUUGUCAUGGUUCUGAUAGGUGGCGCUAUCGUACAUCCAUGUUAGCGGAGACUUCAACCCACGGAGGGUAAUGGCUGCGAGAGUCCACGAAGGGCUCCACCCACAAGGGUUCCACAAAGAAGUGGCAUUGUCUAUUCCACCACGGCUUCCGUCAACACAGGACUAGCCUCACUCAUAGUGGAUCUUCACGAAGUAGGCGAUCUCCUUGCCCUUACAAUACUCUUGGUUCAACUCCGCAACACAAAGUAGGAGGCUCCCAAGCGACACCUAACCAAUCUAGGAGGCACCACCCUCCAAAAGGUAAUAGAUUUGGUAGAACUAUGAACUCAUUUCUCUUGUGCUUCAAAAGAUAGUCUCCUCAACACUCAAUCACUCUCUCUCAGAUUUGACAGGGGUAGGAGAGACUCGUCAUGUGGAAAGCAACUUGGGGAGGAUUGAAAUCAAGGUUCAAAUGGUUGGAAUGAAACUCUUGAUCUCAACACAUGAGUAGGUGGCUCUCUCAGAAAUAUGGAUCUGGCAAGUCUAAGCGUGUUUUGAGUGCUUCCUCCAUGAAUGAGAGGUAGGUCGACGGGUAUAUAUAGGCAUCCCCCAAAAUCUAACUAUUACAACAUUAUUGCCCAACUCGGUGACGCUGAAAUGAAUCUCGGUGGUACCGAGUUGCACUAACUGUGGUAACUUUUGAAUUUGUGGUGAGACAGAUAUAUGAAUCUCGGUGGUACCGAUACGAUGACCUAGACCAGUUUCCUAAUCUCGGUGAGACCGAUUUAAAACUCGGAAAUUCCGACUCUUGAAAUCUUCUCAACAGAAAUUUGGUCACUGAAUCUCGGUGGCAUCGAUAGGAAUGUUGGUGGUACCGAUAUGGUAGGGUUUGGCAUAGGUUCUAUCAAGUGUAAAAUCGGUAGGGCCGAAUGAAAACUGAUGGUGGCACCGAUUUUGCUGAUUUGGGUUUGGACACAGAUACUUUGUGGGAGAAUGGCUGAGUAUUUUUUCGUGGCUACCUCUAAGCACUUGAGCAACCAAUUCAUCAUAAUACCUCAUCCCCUUUUAAUAGUAUUGAAUUUCCUAUGGACUCAAAGUGAUUUCUCACAAAUAUAAAAUGUAGAGUCNNNNNNNNNNGAGCCAAUCCUAUUCCUUCCUUGCAUCAAGGGGCAUCUCCUCACAAUCCUAUAUCCAAAGCAUCUUUGAACUUUUCUAAAAUAUACUUGAAUAAACUCAUUAUUCCAAUGAUGCAUAUGUUGUGAUUAAUUACCAAAACCACCUUAGGGGCAAUUGUGCUUUGCAUCUCCCCCUUUUUGGUAAUUGAUGACAAAAUAUAGAUCAAAGCUUCAACAAAAGAUAUAAUCAAUGAUUAGCAUCGAUGCUUUGAGAAGUAUUUGAAAAGCAAGAGCUCCCCCUAAAUUUCUGCAUUACUUAUUAUUUGCAUUUGAAUGCAAAUGCACAAUCGAUUAGGAUCAUGGGUUACUCUUACAUGUCACAAACAACUUCGUGGUGCGCAUAAAUGAUAUGACUGAAUAGUAAUGCAUAUAACACCAAACAAGGAAGUGAAUGAUCGUCAUGUAGAUAGCUCCAAGGUAAUAAUGUGGUAGCAUCAAACAACCAAAGCGUAUGAUCAAACACACCUCUAAACGAAUAAAGUCAUCCAAAAGACUCAAAAGUUUUGAAAAAACAAAAGAGAGCAAAUAAAAUGCAAAGCUCUCUCUCUCUCUCUCUCUCAAAGCCCUAUUUAAUCUAUACGUACACUUCUCUCCCUUUACCAAAAAGUUCAAAGGUCUAGAACUAAGCGUCUCUCUCGGCAUGAUCUCCUCCUGUAGCUGAAUAUGGAGUGGACAAGAGAGCAUCGAUGAAGGCUUACGCAGAUGUCGUUGGAGCUGGAGGUAUAGACAGUGGACGUGGAGGAGCAGGAGCUGAAGCUUGAGCUAGCGAAGAUGGUCUUGCUUCUGGAACUGGCACAACUGCUGACCUAGUCUGGUUCCUGAACUAAGUGGUAGUGGGAAGAGGUGAAUCAUCAUCAUCACUGCUGGAGCAUGGAAUCUUCACCGAGUCAACUUCAUGUUGAACUUGUUGAAUAGUGGUGAUCAACUCCGUCACCUUAAAAUCUAGGUCAUGGAAUUUUGUCUCCAUGGUCCUCUCUAGGCUCUUCUGGUUUGGCAAGAUCUCGGAAACUUUCUUCUCCAUCCCUUGGAUGGUGCUGACCAAGAAGGACAACUGCUCAUCUCUGGUUUUGAGCUAUGGGGGUUGAGCUAGAGCAUUUUCUAGCAGCCUCUACAGUUGCUGCCUCUGCUUCCUCUCUAGCAGUAGCUGAGCUGGGAUGUGUAUCAUCCAUCACAACUUCAUUGUCCUAAAAAUCAAGUUAAAGAGGCAGGUAAGGACAAUCAAGUUGAUAAGCAUGCUUGCCAAUCUUGGCAUUGAUGAGCAUUUGAAUGUAUGGAGCAUAUCCACACGAUCUCUUAUGAUCUACAGUAGUCCUCUUGACAAUCUCAACUAUCAAGUCCAUCACUCGGAACCGGAUGUGGGUGUCUAGAUGGUGCGGCAUGUUGAUGGAAUAUCCUCUAAUCAUCUUGUCAUCACCUGAAUUGGGCAUUAGGGUGUGUCAUGAUAGUGUUUGUAGUGGGUAUUCCUUCUUGCAAAAAGUAGACAAAGCCAAAUUUGUGAGACACCAUAUAAUCAUUGGGCACAGCCUUGUACAUGUUGGCCAUGGAGUUGUGAUUCAUCUUGAGUUCUAAAUACACAUCCAAAUAUCCUUCUUGAGCUUUUGGAGCAUCAAUGAUAGUAGCCCACUCAUCAACAGUAGAUUCAUACCGGUGACCCUCAGUUAUCCAAACAAUUCUUCCAUUAGAAUAAAAAUGAGCGAUGGAAUAGAAUUGCAUGAUCAUCUCAUCGUUCCAUGCAGUCAUCUCUUUGCCAACAAAAUCUUCAAUAUCAACCAUCCUGAAAAUUUCUCUCACAUGAGGAAAAUAGUGUUCAUUGGCCUUGAUGUAUUCCCAAUCGACAUAUCUCAUGUCGAUGAUUGUAGGAUUCUUGUCAAGUAGAACUGUCUCAUAGAAAUCUUGUUAUUCCCUUGUGUGAAAGUGGGGAUCAACAGCACUUCUUCUUCUCACAACAUAUGGGUCAAUAGAGAUCCACUUCCUUAAACCUGCAUCUUUCCUUUUCUUCAUGUCCUCAACAACUAGGUGAGAUGCAUCAUGAGUUGCCAUAUGAGGUCUAAGCUUCAUAAGCACAGGGGCAUCCUCAUCUUCCUCAGCAGCAAAAUCUCUGGACACAGAGCCUUUGUUUUUCUUAGUUAUAGGAACAUCCUUUGUAGUCCUCUUGGGAGGUACAGGCUUCUUUGGAGCAGAAGAUUUCUUGGGAGCAGAAGGCUUCUUUGGCAUAGCAUCAGUCAUCAGCUUAGUCAUCUUUGGAGGAGGAACUUCAGAUGGAAUUUCUUCCUCAUCAUCAGCUUCGGCAGUUUCUGUUGGAUCUUCAUACAUAGAGGUUGGUCUUCCAACAACAUGGAUGGUUCUAUUCCUAUCUCUCUUCUGACCUAUCUUUUUGCAAGCCUAGAUUCUGGAGCUCUAGUAUCAGAAGGUUUAGCAUACUCCUUCCUCACAGUCUUCCUGACUGUGGUCUUCUCUUUCUGCUUCUGGGGAGCAGAUUCCUCGGGGAUGAAGUCAGCAUCUUCUUCAUCAGAAUUGAGCUUCCUUCUUGACCUGGUAGAUGCCUUGGGCAUGCCAUGCAAGCUGAGAGUACCUAGGUCAGAAGGGGUCCUAUUAGGACUAGUGCCUGAGUCAGUUUUAGCAUGGGGCUCACUGAAGUUGUUCUGACUAUCCUCGGAACCUGACAUCUUGCAAGACCAAGCAGACAAACAGAUUGGCACACAAGCACACAAGCAGACCCUGUGAAAAGAUAUAGAAGAACUUGAAAAGAUAAGAAUCACAAAAUUACGGAAGUUUUGUCAUAUUUGAACUCGGAAAAAUUUAGUAUUAACUUUCAGCAAAAUAGGAUUUCAGUUCCAUCGAGUCUGAAACUUCGGAGCCACCGAGAUAGAUGUUCUCUUCAACAGAAACUUGGCACGGUUCCACCGAGAACAUUCUCAAUAACCCUAAAACCAAAUCGGUAAGACCGAUUUUUACAACUCAAUGACACGAAGAUCCAAUCUUGCGGACUGCUAACCCUAAAAAUUUCUUUGCUCGCUAAUCUAAGGAAUUUUUCAGCUGGAUAGAACUUGUAGCAAUCGUCGACAGAUAAUGGGAGUGCCUAACUGUGCAAAGAAUCAGAUUGGAGCGCAAAAAGGAAAUCGAAUCCAUACCCUAACUCGACGUGGAUUUGCUAUGGUGGCAACAGCGGUGAAGAAUCCGUCAGCGGCGAGGACUUCGGAAAAGGCGCAUGGGAGAAUCAAGUAGAUGCCCGGGGACUAGGGCGCGGCAGCAAAGGGGUGCGGCUUUCAGUGUUUGAAGAAAUUUUUCAACCAUCGGGCUCCGCUCGUAUAUAUAUCCAUUCGCUGUCGGUGACACCGAGAUGAGAUUUUUGGUGCCACCGAGUUCCUUAACUGUGAGUUGACAGUGAAACUCGGUGAGGCCGAAAAGCUAAACUCGGUUGCACCGAGAUGAUAAAACCUAAUAAACCUAGGCUUCAAUGGGAUCGAGAUUUUGAGGUUGGUCACACUGAGACACACUUUGGUAGGUUUUGGAAUUCAGCCCUUGUCGAGAUGGAUCUCCGAGUGCUCCUCACAUAGAGUGUCCCUAAAGUGCUUGCUCAAAUUUUGUGAUGAAGCAUGAAUAGAAUUUGAGACGAGAAAGCAUAGAUAGCUAGAGGAGGGUACUUAAGCCUUCUUGUAUAUCUAAUUGGCCAAAAGAAAUAGAGAGCCAAAUAACAACAAUUGGAUAUCCUCGAAUGAUCAAAAUAUGCAUACCAACAUGCUCACACAAUAAAAUGUCAAAUAAAACAUGGUGAACAUCCACAGACAUUCUAGCAUUUAUCAAGCACUUUGGCGAUCACGAAGUCAUCUAUAUAUGAGUAUACUCACUUAGGAGCCAAGUAAGAAUACUUGAUCAUAGGUCAUACUCAUCGAUUAAGCACAAGUGGGUUUACCACUUUUACAUAAUGCAUUAAUGUGUUCACAUUGUUUAGGAGGCUCUUAUACUCAAGUCUUAGAAUAAAGCUCCCCCUAAAUGUGACAUCCCCCCUAAGAGGGAUAAACUAACCUUGGGUUUUGUCCUACAAGACUUCAAGUAGGUGUAAGUAGUGGUGGAUGCUCAUUGUUGAUGAAGAUCAUCUUGAGUUGGGAGCAAUCCCUGUUGUUUCUUACUCUUCUCACCUACAUGGGUUAGUCCCAAAGCUAAAGGAACAAAUGCAAAGAUAUCUAUGGACAUGCAGUGAAAUACAUGGGAGAUUAUGUCCAAAGAUGCAUUAAUUUCCUUGUCCCUUUCUCACCUUUGAGGGAAUGUGUGAAUCCUUGAAAUAAUGCAUGUGGUUGGAGUUGAUUGCAUAAAGUUCUUGCCAAAAUGAAUAAGUGUGAAUUUCAUUGGUGGAGUCACCCCUCAAGAACUUUCUAGUUCUUUCUCUUGGGGAUCCACAUCACCUUGAUGGGGAUCCUUGGAGCUGUUGUAGCACUAGAUGAGGUAGUACUAGAAGUGUCCUUGGGAACCCACUCGACCUUGGCUUGGGGUUCUUCCUCAAAUGAAUCAAUCUCCUCUUGAAGCUUUCCCAUGCCCUUAUGGUCUUGUGGUAGAAGGCCAUCUUGCGAGAUUUUUCCCUUGGGGGGGGGGGGNNNNNNNNNNNNNNNNNNNNNNNNNNNNNNNNNNNNNNNNNNNNNNNNNNNNNNNNNNNNNNNNNNNNNNNNNNNNNNNNNNNNNNNNNNNNNNNNNNNNAAGAAGGAGGAGAAGGAGGAGGAGGAGGAGAAGGACUAGAAGGUCCUUGGCCUUCUCCUCCUUCUCCUCCUCCUCCUCCUACUCCUACUCCUACUUCUUCUCUUCUUCUUCUUCUUCUUCUUUCUUUUCAUUUUUCCUAUUUCUUCUCCUCUUCUCCUCUUCUUGGAGCUAAAUGAGCUAACUAUGUAUUUUUGGAGCUAAAUGGGCUAAUUAUGUCAUUGUUGGGGAAAUUAAGGCAAGGAGAAUAUGAAAUAGGAGAAGAAAGAGGAGGAGGAGGAGAAGAAGAAGAAAUAAAGAAGGGGGAGAAGGAGGAGGAGGAGGAGAAGGACUAGAAGGUCCUUGGCCUUCUCCUCCUUCUCCUCCUUCUCCUCCUUCUCCUUCUUCUCCUCCUCCUUUUUCUCCUUCUCCUUCUUCUCCUCCUCCUUCUUCUCCUUCUCCUUCUCUUAUCUUUCUCUUCUUCUUUUUGUUCUUCCUUUUCAUUUCUCCUCUUCUCCUCUUCUUGGAGCUAAAUUAGCUAACUAUGUAUUUUUGGAGCUAAAUGGGCUAAUUAUCUCAUUUUAGAGGAAAACAAGCUAAGUAUAUAAUAUUAAUGAGCUAACCAAGGUUCUUAUGCCAUUUUGAGGUUAUUAUGGCANNNNNNNNNNNNNNNNNNNNNNNNNNNNNNNNNNNNNNNNNNNNNNNNNNNNNNNNNNNNNNNNNNNNNNNNNNNNNNNNNNNNNNNNNNNNNNNNNNNNAUAACCUCAAAAUGGCAUAAGAACCUUGGUUAGCUCAUUAAUAUUAUAUACUUAGCUUGUUUUCCUCUAAAAUGGGAUAAUUAGCCCAUUUAGCUCCAAAAAGACAUAGUUAGCUAAUUUAGCUCCAAGAAGAGGAGAAGAAAUAGGAAAAAUGAAAAGAAAGAAGAAGAAGAAGAAGAGAAGAAGGAAGAGGAGGAGGAGGAGGAGGAGAAGGAGGAGAAGGCCAAGGACCUUCUAGUCCUUCUCCUCCUCCUCCUCCUUCUCCUCCUUCUUCUUUAUUUCUUCUUCUUCUCCUCCUCCUCCUCUUUCUUCUCGUCUUUCAUAUUCUCCUUGCCUUAAUUUCCCCAACAAUGACAUAAUUAGNNNNNNNNNNUAUUUGUUCUUCUUCUCCUCCUCCUCCUCUUUAUUCUCCUCUUUCAUAUUCUCCUUGCCUUAAUUUCCCCAACAAUGACAUAAUUAGCCAAUUUAGCUCCUAAAAGACAUUAUAAGCUCAAAAUGGCAUAAGAACCUUGGUUAGCUCAUUAAUAUUAUAUAGUUAGCUUGUUUUCCUCUAUAAUGACAUAAUUAUCCCAUUUAGCUCCAAAAAUACAUAGUUACCUAAUUUAGCUCCAAGAAGAGGAGAAGAGGAGAAAGGAAAAGAAGGAAGAAGAAUAAGAAGAAGAGAAGAAGAAGAGAAGGAGAAGGAGAAGGAGAAGAAGAAGGAGGAGCAGGAGAAGAAUAGAAGGAGGAGAAGGAGGAGAAGAAGGAGAAGGAGCCCUCCUUCUUCUCCUUCUUCUCUCCUCCUUCUUCUCCUCCUUCUUCUCCUUCUUCUUCUCUUCUUCUUUUUUCUUCUUCUCCUCCUCCUUCUCCUUCUCCUUCCCCUUCACCUCCUCCUCCUCCUCCUCCUCCUCCUUCUUGUUUUUCUUCUCCUUGUUCUCUUCUUGCUUCUUCUCUUUCUUCUUCAGUUUAGCUUAUUUGUCAUAUAUAUGUUGUUGUUCUUCUUCUUCUGACUUUCUUAUUCCCAUUUUCCAGAUUGGAUGUACUACAUGCAUGGAAGCUGGCAUUGGAGUGCUUUAGUUUCCGUUUUUAUUUGAGUUGAUGAACAAUGUGGAACUAUAUGUAUAUGUAUAUAUGGAUGAACAAUAUAUGUGCAACUAUAUGUAUGUAUAUAUGGAUGAAACUUUGUAUGUGUUGGUUCUUUUGAUAUAUGGAAUGUACGUUGAUGAACAAAUGGCAUUGAUGAGCUUUAUAUGUAUAUCAUAUAUGUGUUGUGACCUAUUUAUCAUAUAUGUGCUAUGAAUUAUAUGUAUAUAUGAUGUGAAAUAGAAAAAAUAAACAAAAAUGUGACAAUAUAGGCUCUUUGUCGUCUGCCAGCUGAUGGCAAAGGCCUUUGCCAUCAGCUGGCCGACGGCAAAGGUGCCACGUGGCGCCCAGCUGUGCAAGAUGGGCAGUAGCAGCUGGCCAUAUAGUAUCUUUGUCGUCUGCUUCCAGGGGGCAGACGGCAAAGAAGAGGGCACAGAGGAGGGGGUGGAGGAGGUGGAGGUUGACGGCAAAGAAGAGGAGAGGGUAGGCAGACGGCACAGAAGAGGGGGGAAGCAGACGGCAGAGAAGAGGGGGGAGGCUGACGGCAAAGAAGAGGGGGGAGGCUGACAACAAAGCCUCGGUUAGCCCCUAACGGAGGCAACGCCUGUCGGCUGCCGUCUCGACCACUUUGCCGACUGCUCCUAUGAAAAGCUGACGGCAAAGCUCUUUGCUGUCCGCUUUGGGGAGACAGACGACAAAGAAGCUACAAUGCCGUCGUAGGCUGACGCAGAAAUUUUGCCGGCCGUGAGAUUCUUUGUCGUGUGUGAUAUUGUCUUUGUCGUCCGUGAUUUACUCUUUGCCGUCUGUGAUGGCAGACGGCAAAGAAGCUGAUUCCUGUAGUGAUAUUGAAAAAAUGAUUUGAUGAUAGAUAUGUCUCCAAGAGAAUUUAGAACUUUAUCCCCUAAGGAUGAAUAUGUAAGAAUUACCUAUCCCCCUGAAUCAUAGCAUGUAGAUAUUGGGAGUAGGUAGGGUAAGACAAGUUCAAUCAGAAGAUAGUGCAAAAAAACAUAUCUGAAACAAUUUUAUCUCUCCCCCCAUAAUAGUAGUUCUCCUCCUCUUGUGUAAGCUUAUUGGUUAUAUUUAUCCUCCUUUAUAUAGUCUUAUUGGAAGUUUAUAUUUCUCCCCCUUUGGCAUUAAUUGCCAAAAAGGUCAGAGGUAAGUCUCAUUGAGAGAAAGGGAUCCUUGAUACUUCUCUCUUUGAUGAGGGUUCCUUGAAUAUUUCUCCCCCUUAAGUAGUAGGUAAGGGUUCAUUGAAUGUUCUCCCCCUUUAAUAUGAAUAAGCGUUCCUUGAACUAUCUCCCCCUAUGUUAGGGAUCCUGGAUGUUUCUCCCUCUUAUAUUGUGGGAUCAUUGAGGGUUUCUCCCCCUAGAAAAGUUUUCUCCCCUAGAAAAUAAUGCUAAAACUAAUUUUGUUUCCCAAAAUUUUCAGUAAGAUCUGAGGUGGCAAUGAAACAUGGGAUCAUUGAUAAUCUUUCUCCCCCUAAGGCAAAAGUCCAAAAAUAUCAGAAAAACAAAGGCAGUGAUAAUAUUGGACUCACCGAGGCAAUGUGAUUCGGUAGAACCGAGAAUGAAAAUUAGGCCUGUGGGAGAAAUCGGUUGGACCAACUUUCCCAUAUCGGUGAAACCGAGUUCAUUGAAAAUCAACUCCUUAAUUGAAAAAAGACAGAUAAUAAUCUAAAGCUUGUUAUAAGAUGCCAAUUAUGAAAGAAAACAUAAAACAACACCAAAUUGUAAGUUAUUAUUAUUAUUAUUUUGAAAUAUACAUACAUAUAGAUGAGAGUUGAAUGGUUCCCAGGAAGUAUGCAAUGAAAAAUGUGAACCAUACAAGAAUCUCCAUCUAGAUAUAGGGCGGUGGCUAGGUCACCUAUAUUAGAGUAUUUGACUUGAGGAGUCAAGCAAGACUGCUUGAUCAUAGGUCAUACUCAUCGUUAAGUGUCCCAUUUUGCGCUGAAGCCCUUAAUGUCUUCAUAUCACUUGAGUUGCUUUACCUCAUGAUUUGAUGUAAAUCUUAUCAAGGAUAUGAGUACAUAACUUUGAAUGAUGUUGAUGACAUGGUAUGUAAGUGAACUUGUCGUGGAUGCUCCAAGUUGAUGAAGAUCAUCUUGAAUUGGGAGCUAUCCUUGUCAUUUUGGUUCACUUUUCACCUACAAUGGUUAGUCAUGCAAGGAAGAACAUAAUACAUCCAAAUGACAUGAGUGAAUUUCAUUAUCAUAUAAUUGACAAGGAUAUGAUUUUGUUGUCUUCUUCCUCCAUCUCCGAUGAAGGAGUUACUGAUACUUGGCCAUGACAAGUUUUCUUUUGAUGUGAGUUUAUGGCAAUCUUGUGGAGUGUAUUGCUUCCAAGUACCUACAACAGGGUUAGAUGCAAUACAAGGGAGCAUAGAUUCCAAGAUAUAAGAUAGUGUCAUAUCAAUAGCAUCAAGGAAAAGACAAUCAAGCUCAUGCCCUUGCAUGCAUCCGAGUGAGUCUAGCUCAAGUUUGAAGCAUCACUGAUGUUCAACUCGCUCCUCAAAUGACAGAAUACGUUCCCAUCAAGUGGCUUGGUAAAGAUAUCAGCUAAUUGUUUGUCGGUAUGAACAUGUUGAAGAUCUGUAUCUCCUUUACCAACAUGAUCACUAAUGAAAUGAUGUCGCACUUGAAUAUGUUUUGUUCGAGAAUGUUGAACAUGAUUAUAGGCAAUUUUAAUAGCACUUUCAUUGUAACACAACAAUGGAACAUUUUAAACAUGAAUGCCAUGAUCCUUAAGAGUUUGAGUCAUCCAUAGUAAUUGUGCACAACAUGAUACGAUGACUAUAUAUUCAGCUUCGACAAUAGAUAAAGAUACCGAGUUUUGUUUCUUGGAUGACCAAGGCACAAGAGAUCUCCCAAGAAAUUGACAUGUACCCUAGGUGGAUUUUCUAUCAACCUUGUCUCUGGCAUAGUCUGAGUCAAAAUAGCCAACAAGAUUAAAAGAAGAUCCCAUGGGAUACCAUAUGCCAAAAUUUGGUGUAUGUAUCAGGCAUCUCUUGAUUAUUUUUCACAGCCAAUAGAUGACACUCUUUAGGUGUCGCUUGGUAUCGGGCACACAUGCAAACACUCAACAUGAUAUGAGGAUGGGAGGUACAUAGAUAUAGCAAUGAACAAAUCAUUGAUCGAUAAACUCUUCGAUCAACUGGUUUUUCCUCCUAAGCAAGGUCAAUAUGUCCACUAGUAGGCAUGGGGGUUAUCAUACCUUUCCAUUCUUGCAUAUUGAACUCCCUGAUUAAGUCCUUGGUAUACUUGGUUUGAUAGAUAAACGUACCUUCUCUCGAUUGUUUGAUUUGCAAUCCAAGGAAGAAUUUCAACUUGCACAUCAUUGGCAUCUCAUAUUUCUCUGACAUCAACUUUCCAAACUUCUCACUAAAAUGUGGGUUAGUAGAACCAAAGAUAAUAUCAUCCACAUAUAUUUGGCACACAGAUAGUUCUCCAUUAACUCUUUUUAGUGAAUAAGGUUGCAUCAAUUUUACCAAUUUCAAAACCCUUUUCUAUGAUAAACUUCGUUAGGCAUUUGUACCAAACUCCAGGGGCUUGUUUAAGACCAUAUAAAGCUUUACAAAGUUUGUAGACAUGAUUAGCUUUCUUAGGGUUCAAAAAUUUGGGGGUUGUUUGACAUAAACCUCCUCGUCAAUUUCACCAUUUAGAAAAGCACUUUUGAUAUCCAUUUGGUAAAGAGUGAUAUCAUGGUGAUUGGCAUAAGCAAGAAUAAUGCGAAUGACUUCAAGUCUAGCAACGGGGGCAUAAGUCUCACCAUAGUCCAUACCUUCGACUUGCAUGUAUCCUUGGGCUGCAAGACGCGCCUUAUUGCAUACAACUUGACCAUCUUCAUCUUGCUUGUUCCGAAACACCCAUCUUGUACCAAUGAUGUUUUGCUCGGCUUCGGGCUUUUCUCAACAAGUGUCCACACUUGAUUCCUCUCAAAGUUGUGUAGCUCUUCGUGCAUGGAAUUCACCCAAUCCGGGUCUUGAAGGGCUUCUUCUACCUUCAAAGGCUCAAUGCUAGAGAUGAAAGAAUAAUGCUCACAAAAGUUAGCUAAACGAGAUUUAGAGAGAGUGAUUCUCCCGGUUUGUAUGUCACCGAAUUUUUGAUUCAACGGAUGAUCUUUGUCCACUCUUUCUCGAACUCUUGACAGCUUCUUCUUGUUGGAUGGUUGAGCUUCUUCAUCAACAUCAUCUUGCACGUUGUCAUUGACGGUGCCAUCUCCUUGAGGUGGUGGUGAGGAAGGUUAAGGUGGAUCAUCAUGAUGUACUUUCUCCUCUUCUUCAUCAUGUCAUGUACCGCUUGUGGAUGCCUCCAUGUCGUUUUGUGGUUCACCUUGACGCGAAGUAGGAGCUUACACUUGAAUUGAUGAAGUACUUUCCUUCACCUCCGUGGGACGAAUCUUGCUGAUAGGUAUAUCUUGGAUGGCUUCCGAAGGUUCCUUAUCUCCUACAUCAUUUGGUAAUUGUUCGACUUGCGAACCAUUAGAUUCAUCAAACUUCACAUCUACCGUCUCUUCAACUUUUCGAGUGAAGAUGUUGUAGACACGGUAAGUGUGGGAGUUCGAUCCGUAAUGAAGUAGGAGACCUUCAUGAGAUUUAGGAGAAAAUUUAGUGUGAUGAUGCUUAUCAAGAAUGUAGCAUUUAGAGAUGAAUACUCGAAAGUUCUGAACUUGGGGUUUGCUACUGGUGAGUAGCUCGUAUGUCGUUUUACCGUGAAGCUUGUGUGAGUAGAGUCGGUUUAUGGUGUGACAAGUUGUUUCCACGACUUCUGCCCAAAAAUGUCUUGGCGUCUUGUAUUGGUCAAGCAUCAUUCUUGCCAUCUCUAUGAGAGUCUGGUUCUUCCUCUCAACAACUCCAUUUUGUUGAGGUGUGUACAUUGCCGAGAACUCUUGUGAGAUACCUUCGUCAUCAAGAAAAGUAUCCACAUUUGUGUUCUUGAACUCUGUUCCGUUAUCACUCUAAACUUUCUUGAUCUUCACUUUGUAAGCAUUGGGACCAAAGAGAUCCAUGUGAAGUAGCUCGAGUGGCCUUCUUGUAGUCAUGAUGUUCUUCGCGGGAUGACUUCCACCAACUUGCUUUCCUGCUUGACAAGCACUACAAAGUCCAUCUUUGUCAAAGAUAACAUCUCUAACACCAAGAAUAUGAUCAACUUCUGUCAAGGUGUAACACCCCGGACACACCCGCCGAUAAUCGAUACUCCUGGCGGGAUCUAGACUCGCCCCACAUAUCAAUACUAGUCUCUUCUGCGCACUUUGUCCUCACUCAUGCGCACCCGGGAACAACUUCCCGGUCGAUCACCCAUCCUAGAAUUACUCCAAGCCGAGCACGCUUAAUCUGGGAGUUCUCUUCGAAUGGGCUCCCGGAAAAGAAAGAAUUCCUUAUUUAUAUGAGUAGUCUAUCAUCCCUAAUAAGCCAGGCUAUCACAUACACCACCACUCACAGGAACCGACGUCCUCCUCGGGCCACAGGAGCGUUCCCUCUUGGCACAAACAUUUGUGCAUCCAGUCCAGUACAUGUGCCAUGACGUGUGCCACGACGGCUCACAAACGUCAUGAACAACAUGACUGCACACCUGUCCACAAACAUCCUUAUUUUGGCACGAGGGCCUCAACAGGGAUAGAAGCGCAUGUCGUCGUUUCGCAAGAAUGGAUAUCGUUACAAGUACAUGUACUAAAAAGAAGAGAUAUAUGGAAUUGGCUUACACUCGCCACAUGCUACAUCAAAGUCACAUCAGUACAAUACAUAAACAUCAUGUAGAAGAGCAGGGUUCAACUACGGACGAAAAGAAACGAUAAAAGAACGACGUCCAUCCUUGCUAUCCCAGGCUGCCGACCUGGAACCCAUCCUAGAUCGAUGAAGAAGAAGAAGAAACUCCAAAUUAACAACCAUCGCGCUCACGUCUUAAUAUCACUUUACCUGAACCUGCAACUGGUGUUGUAGUAAUCUGUGAGCCACAGGGGACUCAGCAAUCUCAAUUCCAAAGGUAUCAAGACUAGCAAAGCUUAAUGGGUGAGGUAUGGUUAAGUGGUGAGGCUGCAACAAGCGACUAAGCAUUUGUUUAGUGGCUACCUUAUGAGUACAAGAACAAAGAUGGGGGAGAUUUACGCACAGCGGACGUGAACUACUAAUGAUCAAAUGAAUGAUUCUGAACACCUACUUACGUCAGACAUAACCCCACCGUGUACUCGAUCGGAGAAGGAGCUCAUGAAAGAGACAGUCACAGUUACACACUCAGCUGACAAGUUUUAGUUAAGUUAACUUCAAGUUAUCUAGAACCAGAUAUUAAACAAACUUUCCACGUUGCCACAUAACCACGGGCACGACUUUCCGAAAGAUUUAACCCUGCAGGGGUGCUCCAAAUAGUCCAUCACAAAUUACCACAAGCCGCAUAGAAAUCCUCGAUCGCGAAUCUCGCGAUCUCGUCAGACUCCUUAGUGGAAAACCUCAACUCUAAGAUUACCCAAAGCAUCACCGGAAUCCCGAUGCACGAGACAUUCAUCAAAGGUAAAACUAAUCCAGCAAGGCCGCAUGUCGACAAUCCCGAUAGUAGCCGUGUAUCUCGUUCUCAGGACACGACGGAUUGUCCAAACUUCCGGUAGGCCAAUCAGAGAGUUGCCCCUGGUAGCCACCGGCGGUUGAAAGGUUGGACGAACACUCAUGCGGAGCACUGGCCCGGGGGUUGAUUAAAUUUCCUCGGGUUAAUUACUCCCUAUGUGGUUCAUCAGUUAUUAGGCAAAUGUAGUACCAAAGCUGGGCCAUGCCAGACCAGUUUUAAUCUAAGACGAAUUAUCAAGGGGAUCCCCAUAACAACCCCGAUCGUGUUAGGAGCGCCCAAUUAUGGAAUAUAACACCGGUAGCCGAAACUAAGGGGGAAAGGAUGGAACAAAACACCAGGCUAGAAAGGACGAGCCUUCCACCCUUUACCAAGUAUAUAGGUGCAUUAAAUUAAAUAGCAUUAAUAUGGUGGUAUAACAUGAAACUCAUGUUAUCACAUGGAAGCAACUACACCUGCAACUAACAACGCUAACAAAUGGUUAAGCAUGCAGUAACAUAGUCAAUCAGUGGUUUGCUAGGUUGUGAACAUGUUGAAGGUUUCAUGGCAAUGUUGAGAGGCUGACAUUUAACAGGUGGUAGGCAACGAGACAUAGUAAUAGAAACGAAACAACUAGCAUGGCAAUGAUAGUAAUGUUAUCUAGGGAAAUGAUCAUCUUCCCUGAGAUCCUGCUUGGAAGAAGAACGACUCUGUGAAGCAGACGAACCGACAUAUUCGAGUGGAUCCUCACAUUCCGACACGCUUGCGAAACUCUAUCGAGACGAAGCAAACCGAAAACAAGAAUCAACACACAAUAUUCACCACGCACAUACACGACAUGAUGCACAACACAUAUGAUGCAUGACGAGUUAAAUUAUGCAAGGUAUGGCAUGGCAAUUCACAACAGUCAAACGCUACACAUUAAGUGAAGCUCAAUAUGCAACUCGUUGCAUGUUGACGAAACUCCACGUUGAAUUAUUUAGUUCACUCCCAUUUAGAUGCACGACAAUAUUAAAAUGUUGUUAACAUGGCAAGGGUGAAGCACAAAUUAAACUACCUAUCGAGGCAUUUUAAAUGAGGUCGGAAACGACAUAUAGCAUCUCCGAAAUGACCCCACACGUUUACUUUGUAAAUUGUCCAGAUUUGUCCUAACCACAUUUUAUGUUUGUUAAACGAUAAGACAAAGUGGUUCACGUGAUUCUACUCAUCGUUCUAGUCCAGUUACAUAUAUGGCUCAUCUCCGACGGAGCUACGGUUAAUUAACUACGACCUAAACCGUUUUAUCAUGUCGAUACGCAAACCAAAGCAAGUAGUACGCCUAACAGCUUUAAACAUGCACGCGAGCUAGAAAAUAUUAAUCUAUGCAAAAUUCUACACGUUUUACAUAUAUAACUUAUUUCAAUACGAGGCACAAUUGAAAAUGUACGUAUGUAUAAAAUAUACACAUAAUUUGUAAUUGUGAAAUUCGAGGCUAAUUAGACAAACUCGCAUACGAAAAAAAAAACACAACCGGACCGAGUUGCACCAUAGUGCAGCAGCCCAGGAGUGGAUUGGACCCAAGUUGCACAAAAUGAAAUGAGGCUCGAAUUGGAGUUGAUCCAAAGACCUCUCAUGUGGAGUUGCAAGGCACCUGCCAAUGCGCUGCUGCCCAACUUGUGGUGGAACUAAGACAUGGUGCAAUUAAACGAAUAACAAGGCAUAAAUAUAUUAGCAUAGGUGGGAAUUGAAACCCAGACCCCUUGGAUGAGCAUCUCCCUUCGUUGCCAGUUGGACUACGAGGCAUACUCUGUCCUAAUUCAGCUUCCACCGAUACAGGUAUAUGGCGCGGGGCAGAGGCUCACCUCUGGCCAGAUCUGCCGGUUGAUAGAGCUAUGAAGGCAGUCGGUGAUCAACAGCCAAGGCCACGAUGGGGACGGGCCCUGUCGACGAGGUCCGACCAGGAACGGGCAGAUCGGGAUGCGGGCUACCGGAUCCGGGGAUUCUUGGCACCAGAGGGCGACGACGACAGCUAUUGGCGGCUGGCGGAGCUCCUGGACAGCCAUGGCUGUCCCUGCAGCUUCUCCAAGAGAGGAAAAGGUCACGGGAGAGAAAGAGCAACGAGGAGGGAGGAGAAGGCAGGGCGAGGCACUGGCCUGGGUCGCGGUGGUCCGUCGAGGCAGGCUAGAUGAGCUCCGACGAUCACCAGAAUCCGGAGCUGCGAGCAUGGGACGAGCGGGGCUCUGGAUCGGGGCUCCUCCCCGAUCUGGAGCUCAGAUGCGACGCGACACACACGCGACGGCCUAUGGGCCAGACGGGCCUCGUCCGGGCUCCACGGGCCGCGGUGGAGUGGGGUUUUGUGGGGAGGCAUGGGCGUGGUAGGAUCUGGAUCGAACGAUCCAGAUCGCGGCGGCGGCACGGCGGCGCAGGUGGUGUCUAGAAUGGUUAGGGGGAGGACAAGUGGCGGCGGGGCAGCGGGGAAGAAGGUCUAUGGCUAGGGUUUCCGAAAAUGGAGGGGUAGGGCGUCCAUAAAUAGUAGGAGGGGGUUUUGGGCAUUUUUGGACCCUUUGAUCUCAAUCGGACGGUUUCGGUUGCGUCCUAGGGCUAGGUAGGCUAGUAGGCUGUGGAGAGGUGGUUGGGUCAAGAAGAGAGGGAGGUUUUGCGGCCCGACGACACGAGUUUUAAAAUACUGAAACAACCAACAAAUAAACCGAUGACGAUGCCGCUACGGUCGACCGUACGGGUAUCAAACGGACUCCGAUUGCGACGAAAUUUGGCACGCGGCCUACCUACACUAUAUUUAGACCGCACGCCAAGUUUCAACCCAAUCCGAGAAUAUUUUAUGCGCACUUCUAAAAACAAUUUUUUAUCGAUGACGCGGGCGCGUGCGAGUGUGGACGGUCUCAAAACGGUCAACAACGAAAACGGAGAGAACCAGCAACUAAUAACGGAUGCAAGUUUGAAAACUGAUGGCAACGGAGUGUCGAUGCAAUGCGGAUGAUGCACAUGAUGCGAUGAUGAAUGCGACACCCAAACGAGUCACACAAAGAGAACGAAAUAAAAGGGGAAUCUUCUCGAGCGUCGGUAUCGGGUUGUCACACACCCGCCGGCGGUCGUUACUCCUGGCGGGAUCUAGACUGGCCCCACAUAUCAAUACUAGUCUCUUCUGCGCACUUUGUCCUCACUCAUGCGCAUCCGGGAACAACUUCCCCGGUCGGUCACCCAUCCUAGAACUACUCCAAGCCGAGCACUCUUAACCUAGGAAUUCUGUUCGAAUGGGCUCCCAAAAAAGAAGGAAUUUCUUGUUUAUAUGAGUAGUCUACCAUCCCUAAUAAGCCAGGCUAUCACACUUGUUACGCAUACCUACAUGUCCUAACCUUCUAUGCGAUAACCAACCUUUAGAAGAUUUUGCAAUAAGACAUGUACAGGGUUUGGAUUUUUUUAGUGAAAUCGACAAUGUAUAGAUCACCUUUAUGGAUACUAGUAAGGACCAUGUUAUGAUUGUCGCUACGAAACACUUGGCAAUCAACUUUCGUAAAUAAAACAUUGAAACCAAAGUGCUAGUCUAGAUAUGGAAAGAAGAUUGUAUCCAAGGGAUUCAACAAGCAUGACAUUUUUAAUGGAACUAUCAUAAGAUAUGGCUACCUUACCAUGACCAAGUACCUUACCUUUGGAGUUCUCUCCAAAGGUCAGAUACCUUCGAGGUCCACGGUUUGGUGUGAUCUCAUGGAACAUGUCUUUAUCUCUGGUCAUGUGAUCGGUGCAUCCACUGUCGAGAACCCACUCCUUUCCAUCGGCCACGUAGUCUCUAAGGUUCGCCAUAAGACUAAGGUUCAUCUUGGUCUUUUCAUACUUGAUGUCAAACCCUUCAUCUUCAUCAUAGUAGCCAUGCUCCACAUUGUCGUCGUGGGACGAAAUAUCCUCGUCAUAAGAAACAAGAAUUUCAUCAGAAUUUUGACUAUGACAAUGUUCAUAUUUAUGCAUGUGGAUGGCUUCAACAAUGACAUUGUUAAUGGUAAUGACAUCUCCUUUAGCACGCAUGAGGUCACGAAGCUCAAAUAAGCAUUUAUCAAAAUUAGGAUCGGUUGGCUCCAUUUUUUGAAAGGCAAUGCAUUUAUGAAAAAUGAUCUCAAGAUUUUUCAAUGAAUAGUCGGGAUAUCUUUUCUCUUAAGUUUUUCCACAAAGUGCGAGCACACUCAAAUUUUUUUAAUUGAUUAAGCACAUUUCUUGCAGUCCUCUAAUGAUUAGAUUAACAGUUUGAAGAUUACCAAGCAUAUCAAUUCUUCAUCAUGAGAAGGAUGAAAGGUUCAAUGGGAGGCUCGUAGGAAUAUUCAACAUACUUGCGCAAAUGGAAUUUAUCAAAUAUAUCAAGCAUUUCAUAUUUUCAUUGUCUAAAAUAUUCCCCAUCAAGAAUAUGCACUCUACAACUAAUAUUCCCCAAACUAGGCACAUCCAUCUUCCUCCAAUGGUGUUUAAACCAAGGUUUUGGAGACCUUGCUCUCAUACCAAUUGAGAGAUCGAUACAAGAGGUGUCUAAAGGAGGGGGUGAAUAUACUAUUUGCAUGAAUUAAAAUCCCAGCCUUUUCCCAAUUUAAUGUUGACAGAUUUUAGCGAUUCUAACAAGUCUAGUGCACCCUACACAUGCUAGUCAACAAGUAUGGCAGUGGAAAGUAAAGACUUUGCACAUGUAGUAAGGAGUAAAGUUUAAGAAUAUCAAAUGCGUAGAAGUUUACACGACGAUUUUUGGCAUGGUUUCCAUAGGUGGCGCUAUCGUACGAUCAUGUUAGUGGGGACUUCAACCCACAAGGGUAACGACUGCGAGAGUCCAUGGUGGGCUCCACCCACAAGGGGUCCACGAAGAAGCGGCCUUGUCUAUUCCACCAUGGCUUCCGUCCACACAGGACUAGCCUCACUCACGGUAGAUCUUCACGAAGUAGGCGAUCUCCUUACCCUUACAAACAUCUUGGUUCAACUCCACAACACGAAGCAGGAGGCUUCCAAGCAACAUCUAACCAAUCUAGGAGGCAUCACCCUCCAAAAGAUAAUAGAUGUGGUAGAACGAUGAACUCCUUUCUCUUGUGCUUCAAAAGAUAGUCUCCUCAACACUCAAUCCCUCUCUCAUGGAUUUGGCAGGGGUAGGAGAGAUUGAUCUUGUGGAAAGCAACUUGGGGAGGCUAGAAAUCAAGGUUCAAAUGGUAGGAAUGUAAUCUCUUGAUCUCAACACAUGAGUAGGUGGCUCUCUCUCAGAAAAAUGGAUCUCCCAAGUGUAAGUGUGUUCUGAGUGCUUCCUAUACGAAUGAGAGAUAGGUGGAGGGGGUAUAUAUAGGCAUCUUUCAAAAUUCAACAAUUACAACAUUAUUGCCCAACUCUGUGACAUCAAAAUGAAUCUCGGUGGUAUCGAGUUGCACUAAAUGUGGCAACUUUUUGAAUUCUCGGUGAGACUGAUAUAUGAAUCUCGGUGGUACCGAUACGAUGACCUAUACUGGAUUUCCAAACUCUGUGAAACCGACUUCAAACUCGGAAUUCCCGAAACUUGAAAUUAGCUUAACCGAAAGUUGGUCACCCAAUCUCGAUGGCACCGAUAGGAAUAUUGGUUGUACCGAGAUGGUGGGAUUGACAUAGGGUCUGUCUAAGUGUAAAAUCCGUAUAGCCAAGUGAGAAAUGUUGGUGUCAUCGAUUUUCCAUAUUUGGCUUGGCUUGGGACAAAUAUAUAUUAUAGGAAAGUGGCUGAGUACUUUUGGUGGCUAUCUCUAAGCACUUGAGCAACUAAUUCAUCAUAAUAUCUCAUCCCCUUUUAAUAGUAUUGGCUUUUGUAUAGAUUCAAAUGUGAUUUCUCACACGGUGUAAAGUGAAGAGCCUUCUUGUUUGAAGCUUUAGUCAAUCAUAUCCCUUCCUUGCAUCAAAGGGGCAUCUCCACACAAUCCUGUAACCAAAGCUUUAUGUGGACUAUACCUAAAAUAUACUAGGUAAAAGUGUUAGUCCAAGAGACAAUGUAUGUUGUCAUGAAUUACCAAAACCACCAAGGGAGCAUAUGUGCUUUCAAUCACAAUUUUAUGACCGGACAGUGAUCGAGCGGUUUGCCCGAACGUUGAAAAGGAUUUAAGGGGUCCGGUUGUAGAUGCUCUUAAUAGCACCAACAUGCUCUACCCACGUAAAAAGAAAGGGGCCUGCUAAGCAUCCAUCGGUGGAUGUUUACUAAACAUCCACCACUUGGAGGGCCGUCCAAUCUACAUGUGGCCGUCGGAUCUGCUCCGGUCAAGCACCCCAUAAUUCCUGCAACGAUGGCUGAGUUGCAGAAACUUUCGCUUUGUUGCAAGGAAUAAACUUUGGACCCGUUAAUUCCUGAAACGAUGGCUGAGUUGCAGAAAUAAUUUGCUUGUUGCAGGAUUUUUUUUCUUCGUCUUUCUGCAACAUAGGUACUUUUGUGGGAGAAUUUUUUUGCAACAAAGGUCAUGUUUCAGGAAUUUUUACAACAAAUGUCAAGUUGCGGAAAUUUUUUGCAACGUUCAUGGACGGCAUGAAUGGCUGGCGGCGGCCGGAUGGUCAGAACAUAAAUCUAUAGUAGACCACUGCAACAUCGUAUAUGUUUCAGAAACAUAGUCUUUGUUGCAGAACCGCAUAGUCACUUGGACGCGUGUCUUACGGGGGAGGUGGCUGAUGCAGCCAUUAUAAUCCGCCGGCUGAUGGUUAGCUUUUCCCAAAAAGAAAAGCAUGCUCCAUUUCAGAAGAAUGUCUCACUAAAUGAAAUCAAUGCACAAUAUAGCAUGAUAUAAAUUCAUUACAGCGAAUUUGAAGGGCUGCGCAUGAUAUAAAUUCAAAUGCGAAAUGGUACUACUCGAGAAAUGAUGCGGCCCGCGGAAGAGAGCACAAGGCCGGCCCACGAGCCGGGUUUAAGCAGGGUUCUUCACUGGCUCCUUCCUCCCACCCUUCUUGCGGCGCGACCCGUACCCCCCGACCCCAACUCCCCCCUCCUCCCAUCCCACGCCAUGCUGCCGCGAUCGCCGGCGAGCCUCCACCUCCGGUCGCUCCGGUGGCCGCGCGGCUUCAGCUCGUCCUCGGCCCCGGCGGCGGCCGCGAAGGAAGGGGCUGACGGGAAGGUCGUGGCCGCGGUGGUGUUCGAGCGCCUCCCCGUCGUCAUCCCCAAGAUCCACCCCGUCGUCUACGCCUUCCAAGAAUUCUCGUAGUCCAGAUCCGCCCGUAUCUCCUCUAGUUUGGCGACGCCUGCUGUUUGCUCGUUGGGCUGACGUCGUCCCCCGUGCGGGGUUUGGUUUCUUGCCCCUUGCUAGGUUCCGGUGGAGGCAGCAAUACAGGCGGCAGUACCCCGACGAUGUCCUAGGCAAGGCGGACGCGAGGUGACAUUUCGCUCUCGCGCUUUGCGAUUUCUUCUGUGUUUAUGUUGGAGUUGGCCAUUUCUUGCUCAUAGAUUUGAAGUGUGUAAUGGGUUAAGUGCAUUAUUGGGUAAGGGUAGCAUAUUUUCGUUGCUGUGCCUGUUGGCACUAUACAAAUUGGGAAUGCUGGCACAAGAGUUCUGUAUGUCAUAAUAGGUUGGAAAUUUCAGGUAGAGGGAAAUAAUUAUUCUUGGUUUGUGUGCAAAAGGAACAGCACUGGUUAAGCAGCAUAACAAUUAAUAUUUACAAGAUACUCCCUCCGUUCCUAAAUAUAAGUCCUUUUAGAGGUUCCACUAAUUGACUACAUACGGAUGUAUAUAGACAUAUUUUAGAUUAUAGAUUCAUUCAUUUUACUCCGUAUGUAGACUCCUAGUGAAAUCUCUUAAAAGACUUAUAUUUAGGAACGGAGGGAGUACAUGGGAAGCAAUUCCUCAUGAGUAAACAAUGCAUGACCCACUACUGCCAAAAAUUUACAGGGAAAUAAUCCACAUGCCAUCUGGGCUUAUAUGCCUUGAAUAAAAAUGAAAUACCAACCUGCCAACCGUCAAGUUAGAGCCAUGAAAUGAAACUUGCGCACAAAUGGAACACUCUGGUUGUUCAGAUAGAGCAUCAGUAAAGGAUUUGAGUCUCAUUCCAUGCCAAUGAAGCAUCAUUGUGGCAGAAUCCCUGUGACCAGAAAUUGUACCUACUGUCAAAGUUAUCUGCUCCACAACAUAGAUCAUGCAUACACAACAGGCUUUUGUGAAUAUACAACAACUUCCAUGUGGUAGUGGAGUAUUUGCAGACAGGCUUUGAUUUAAUUCAUUUCUUUUCAGUUGCCAUUAUAUAGUACAUGAAACAUGCUUGUUUAUGUGUGCAGGGGCAAGGGUGAUUAUCAGAUAGACUAUGUGCCUGCUCCAAGAAUCACAGAAGCUGACAAAGCAAAAGACAGGAAGUAAGUUUCCAACCUCCAUUCCUGUCACUUUAUUUCAUAACUUAGCUUGUUUGUGUGCAUACUUUCUUGUGGUUAUUGUCAGUGUCAGUUACACUCUUGUUAUGCAAGCAUGUGCCAAGUUAUGUUGCAUGCUGCUCUGAAUGUUUCUAAUUAUAUUGAUAGUAUCACAUACUCCCUCCGUUUCUAAAUAUAAGCCUUUUUAGAUAUUUCAAUACGGACUACAUAUGGAUGUAUAUAGACGUACAUACGGAUGUAUGUAGACGUAUUCUAGAGCAUAGAUUCACUCAUUUUGCUCUGUAUGUAGUCCAUAUUGGAAUCUCGACUUAUAUUUAGGAACAGAGGGAGUAGAUAUGUAUGUGAUUCCGUAUAUAUUACUCUGUUUUGCCCUUCAUGCACUGCAUUCUAUGGUUGUGGCUCCAGAUUCUCAUUCUCUGUACCUUCUAUACCCUUACCAGGUUCUCUUUGCUUAUUCUUUUGUUUCUCACCUUAAGCCUAAUGAACUAUUUGUUCUAAAGGCCGAAACUACAGUAUCAUGUUAGUGAUAUUGUCUUGUCAUCAUUUACUUUUUUUGCUAGUGACAGUGUUUCCACGCCUUACCUGCAUGGAUGCUUCAGCCUAUGUGACCACCUUGUAUUGGCUACCAUUGCAUGUACUUUCCUGGGGUACAAACAUAUCCACGUGACCCUAUUUCUCUCCAUUUCUUACUCUCCUCAGUUGCAUGAAUGCACAUUCAUGUAUCUGUAACUACUAGAGUAACACAAAUAAUGCGUGCCCAGUUAUGAUUCCUUACUCUCCUCAGUUGCAUGAAUGCACAUUCAUUUUAAAUUGCAUGGUAUCAAAGCUGAUUUCAGCUUAACUGUCAUUCUCUCUCCAUCCCAUUCUAUUUAUGCUAUCAAUGUUGCUAGCAUCAAAACAUAUGUACCCAUCUCUUGUGAUCUCCGAGCUUCCAACUAAUUUUACUGGUGCUAGUUUUCUUAGUUGCGCUGCAAAUAUGCUUCCAGGGAUAAUGUCCUAGGCACUUUUCCACUUUUGCCAAUAUAUCAAAUGGGUGUGCCCAGUGCUGAAAGCUCCCACACGAUGUGGGGUCUGGAGAAGGGAAUUUCUAGACAGCAUUACCCUUGCAUAAUAAUAGUUCGAAUCCAGGAUCUCCAGGUCACAAGUGGAGAGACUGUACCACUGCUCCAGGCCUGCCCUUCGCCAAUAUAUCAAAUGGCAAAACUAUAAUAAUUACAUUGUCCUUUGUUGGCUACUUGUCUUGAUCUCUGCCUAUAUCUUUCACGUAAUGUAAAGCUCGAUAUGAUAACCAUUAGCCAAGAAGUGUACAUACAAUUAUAUUUUCAAGGCAGCAAUAAGAGGCACACCAUGAAUCUUGAGGCCGGGUGAUAAGAUAGGGAGUGCGGAAGAUCCAUUGUUCCAAAUAUCAGCCAGUUAAUCGGCAUCUCGGUUGGUUAAUCGCUACUCGGUGGGUCAGCGAAUAGCUGGUUAACUGAUUUAUCGGCCGAAUAACUGAUCUAUCGUCCGAUUAACUGGAAAAUUUGCCUAUUUAUCCCUAUUCAGCACCCGACCAAAUGGUACCAGUUAUUGAUAUCCUGAACAUUGGGAAGAUCUGCAACGCGAAUCACUAUCGUAUUCAGUAUAUAUAUGUACAGGGUAUACAAAAUUUAUUUUAACAAGUAAACCUAUUCUAAUGCACGACAGUUGUGAAGGGGAUUGCAGCAAGCCAUGUCACUUAGCAUGCCUGUGAUACAUGCUACAUACGAACAUUUCCGUUCAUGGACACACAAGUGAAGGUAGCACCUAGACCUAUGCAUGACAUGGAGGCAAGUACAGCAAGCCAAGUUAUCCAACAUGCAUGUGACGUAUGUAGUGUAUGAACAUGGUCAUGCAUUCUUCAUGGGUUGUCUGUGUCACAUGCAUGCUGUGGCUCACCUCCACAACCUACGUGAAUUAGAAUAGAUCUAGGCGAGCUUCGCUUGUAAGCAUAGUAUAUACCCCACU